AGUCUUUAAUGUCAACUCUGGAAGUUCAGACAAGCUUAAUUCCUUUAACUGAGAGAACGCUGAUGUAUCUAUUUCAUUGUGGAAGAGUCCUUCAGACCGGACUAAUUCAGAAAUGGAAGCAUUGUUUAUAACAAGCUUCUGAAGGUUUGGUAGUGAGCGAAUGAAGGAAUAUGGAAGAGUAGUGGAUGUCUCAGGAAAGAAUUGGAGGUUAAGAAGUUCGAGGUUUGGGAAACACAAUGAGAGUUGUCCAUCACAUAUCCCCUUCAUCAUAUCACUCGUCGUCAGUGUUAAAUCUUGUAAAACAGGGAAAGUGUCCUGGACACCAACAAAUAUAUUAAACAUGGAUUAAAGAGUUUUAAAUUUAAGUAAGAGAGAAGGUGAGAAUAUUAGUUAGUUAAAAAGGCAAUUUAUAGGUAAUCUCAUUUGAUUGGAUAUAAUCUCGAGUAAUGAACAUGGAAUAUCAACUAUCAGUGAGCAUACCUCAUUGACGCAAAACAAGGGUUGUUGGUUUGAGAUUUGAACCUCACCAAAUAUCUGUGCUUUGGGGCAUUCAAUAACGUCCAUUUGUUUCAAGGAUGGCCAUUGGCUGGUAUGCAUCCUAGAGAAGAAACUUUUCAAUCUCGGCAACUUGGUCGUCACUGUUUCUGCCAUAGUAGACCGAGUAGCUGAUGUUGACUGUGACUCAUUAGCAAUGAGUCCUUGCAGCUCAAUUAUUUCUUCUAACGAAUCACAAUUCUGAAUCCGCAACUUCUCCAGACGAGGGAAAACAACCUAAUAAACCAUUUGAUAGGGUUAAUAACUGAAAAAUGUUGAAAUGAAAAAAAUUAAUGAAAGAAGUAAAAGGAGAAGACUGGUAAAGUAAAAGAAGAAGAAAUGACCUUUUCAUUGAGGACAGCAGAGUCAUUUGUUUGUGUAGGUUGGUGAAUUUGAGGUUCAUCUCCACAUACAGAUUUAGAGAUGAAAGUUUUCAGCAGAGGACAUUUUUUUAGCGUUAGCUCUUUUAAGCAUGGGAAUUCAGAGUAAUUUUGAAAGCAGAAAUUUGUGAGUUUGGGAAGGUCUCCCAGUGACAGCAACUCUAGUUUAGAGAAAAUCGUAUGAUUCCUCCAUUGAUCUUCUGCACCCAAUCCAUCCGUGAAGAUUACUUGUUCCAUCACAUUACAGUCUUUAAUUUCAAGACGUUGGAGCAUGACAAGAUCUUUUAGUAAGAAAGACGGAAACAGGUACUUCAAAUUGUGACACCCUUCCACCUGUAAGUGUUUGAGAGAUGAGGAAGAUGGGUGGUGCCAUAUCUCAUGAAUGUUAAUGGAGGACAAAGUCAGAUACUCCAAAUUGGGAAUGACAACCUGCAGACAUAUAUAAAUGUCAUAAUAAGAUAACAUAACUCUUCCUUCUUUACAUACAAAUACAAAUUCAAUCAAAAUGAGAAGAAGAAAUGAUAAAUUGUAGAGAAAAUUGAAACAUGGACUGAGUUAAGUGAUAAAAUGUAGAGCUGCAUAAAUCUAACAUCAUUCAACCGCCUUUCUUUUUCUAUCCUUAAAUUACACUUUCAUUAUCAUUUACAUUAUUUAUUUUUCAUUUACGCUUUUAUUUUAUUUCACUAAUUUAUUAAAAUUAAAACAAGUGGUUAAGUGUAAUGGUAAGGAACGUUUGCACUCCCAAAAGGAGGAACUAUGUUUGAACUUUAGAGAUGACAUUAUUAAGAAGGUAGCCAUGAAUCCGAAACAUAAACCAAAAAACGGAUAUAAAAAUUACCAAAAUAAAAAAUUACUAGCUUCUCUAAUGUUAAGUGAUUUUACCUAUUUAAUUAUUUUUUAAAUAAUAUAUUUUGAAUUAUUGUAAUUACUGUAAAAUAAUAUUCAUUAUCCAAGCUAUUGAAUAUAAUUAAAAUAUUUAAUAAUAUAAAUGAUAUUAUAAUAAAUUUUCAAAUCACAAUUAAAAUAUUUUUAUUAUAUUCAAUGUUUUACUUCAAAGCAGCAUAAUUCAGAAUAAUAACACAUAUCAUUCACGUUUAAUAAAAAAAAUUUCCUAAUCGCCAUUAAAGCAUUCGUACAAAUUAUAAAGUAUUGAUGUAUUAUAAAUUAACUUGACAGUAAGUGUAUAUUUAAGAUGACUAAAAAGGCAUGGAAAAGGGCCGUGAAAAGAUUUUGUUUGAUAUUCUUCAUACUCAACAACCUUAUUCAUUUCUAUCUUUUAUGCUAUCAAUUCCCCCACUAUUUAUCUAAUACAUUCUCAUCAUAUAUGGAUUCUCAUCAAUUCAUCAAAUAGAAGGAGAGAAGAUAUGAAUUAUUUAGUGCACAUAAAUAUUGAAUAUCAAACUCACCUUGUGGCAGAAUAAAGUUGUAGUGUUAUCUCCCACGCCUUGCUCGCCAAUCACUUUUUCACUCUCUCUUGAAAUUGAAGAAGAAAAUGCCGUCAUUUUUGGACACCCAACUAUCGCAAUAUGACUUAACUUUGGAAAUUCAAGAGCUCGACUUCCCAAAUAAAAAUUUGUCAAGUUGAAACACGCCUUUAUUUCUACAGAGUAGAGCUCAGGAAAUGUGAACUCAUGUGCUGUUGCUUCCUCCUCGUCUUCCCUAAUCACUUGUUCCAUUGUAUUGCAUUCUUUUACUUCUAUCCGCCUUAGUAGCUUGAGGCUCAAAAGCAUAGACGAGGUAAAAAUGUACUUCAAAUUGUGACACCCUUCCACCCAUAAGUGUUUGAGAGAUGAGGAAGAUGGGUGGUGCCAUAUCUCAUGAAUGUUAAUGGAGGACAAAGUCAGAUACUCCAAAUUGGGAAUGACAACCUGCAGACAUAUAUAAAUGUCAUAAUAAGAUAACAUAACUCUUCCUUCUUUACAUACAAAUACAAAUUCAAUCAAAAUGAGAAGAAGAAAUGAUAAAUUGUAGAGAAAAUUGAAACAUGGACUGAGUUAAGUGAUAAAAUGUAGAGCUGCAUAAAUCUAACAUCAUUCAACCGCCUUUCUUUUUCUAUCCUUAAAUUACACUUUCAUUAUCAUUUACAUUAUUUAUUUUUCAUUUACACUUUUUUUUUUCACUAAUUAAUUAACAGAAAAAUCAGCAAUUUUCACUUCUUCAUUCAUUCUUUAAUUAUGGUUUGAAGGUUUUUUUUAUUGCUGUAAAAUAAUUAAUAUAUUUUAAUUAUGUUUAAUAAUUUUAAUAAUAUUACUUUAUAUUAAUUACAUGAAAUAAAAAUACACUAUAUUUGUCACAUAUUUAUUUAUUAAAAGGCUUAAUAAGACAUUUGAUAUCUGAACUUGACACUUUUUCUUAAUUUAGUAUCUAAGUUUUUUUUUUAUGUCUAAUUUGAUAUCUAAACUUGUUAAACAUUAUACAAAUUACUCCAUUAUACUAAUCGUGUUAUUCCUCAAUAUGAUACUUAUGUUUUUUCUUUCUAUUCUUAUAAUCAAUCAACCAGUUUACCUCGAAACCGUUACGAAAAAUGAUGUGGCACUAAAAGACCAAUUCGCCAUUAACCUGUGGCAUUUCUUAUAAGAGUCUCACACCCAAUAACAAUUUGACACAUGGUAACAUUAUAAAAAUAUAUUUUUAAAUUUUUAAAAAUAAUAUUUUUUAAAUUCAUUAAUAUUUGAAAAAUAAAAAUAUAAUAUAUAUUUUUUGAAAAAUAGAAUUAAUUUUUUUGUUAAAUUAAAGUUAAUUAACAUUUUUUUAAUUAGGUCCUAAAGUAUCAAGUUUAGGUAUUAAAUUAGAAAAAGAAAGAGUCAAAUUUAGGUACCAAAUGUUAUAUUAAACUUAUUUAAAAAAUAUAAUUAUUUAUUUUACAAUUUAUUAAAAUUAAAACAAGUGGUUAAGUGUAAUGGUAAGGUACGUUGCACUCCCAAAAGAAGGAACUAGGUUUGAACUUUAGAGAUGACAUUAUUAAGAAGGUAGCCAUGAAUCCGGAACAUAAACCAUAAAACGGAUAUAAAAAUUACCAAAAAAAAAAUUACUAGCUUCUCUAAUGUUAAGUGAUUUUACCUAUUUAACAAUUUUUUAAAUAAUAUAUUUUGAAUUAUUGUAAUUACUGUAAAAUAAUAUUCAUUAUCCAAGCUAUUGAAUAUAAUUAAAAUAUUUAAUAAUAUAAAUGAUAUUAUAAUAAAUUUUCAAAUCACAAUUAAAAUAUUUUUAUUAUAUUCAAUGUUUUACUUCCUAUAAUUAAUAUAAAGCAACAUAAUUCAGAAUAAUAACACAUAUCAUUCACGUUUAAUAAAAAAAAUUUCCUAAUCGCCAUUAAAGCAUUCGUACAAAUUAUAAAGUAUUGAUGUAUUAUAAAUUAACUUGACAGUAAGUGUAUAUUUAAGAUGACUAAAAAGGCAUGGAAAAGGGCCGUGAAAAGAUUUUGUUUGAUAUUCUUCAUACUCAACAACCUUAUUCAUUUCUAUCUUUUAUGCUAUCAAUUCCCCCACUAUUUAUCUAAUACAUUCUCAUCAUAUAUGGAUUCUCAUCAAUUCAUCAAAUAGAAGGAGAGAAGAUAUGAAUUAUUUAGUGCACAUAAAUAUUGAAUAUCAAACUCACCUUGUCGCAGAAUAAAGUUGUAGUGUUAUCUCCCACGCCUUGCUCGCCAAUCACUUUUUCACUCUCUCUUGAAAUUGAAGAAGAAAAUGCCGUCAUUUUUGGACACCCAGCUAUCUCAAUAUCACUUAACUUUGGAAAUUCAAGAGCUCGACUUCCCAAAUAAAAAUUUGUCAAGUUGAAACACGCCUUUAUUUCUACAGAGGAGAGCUCAGGAAAUGUGAACUCAUGUGUUGUUGCUUCCUCCUCGUCUUCCCUAAUCACUUGUUCCAUUGUAUUGCAUUCUUUUACUUCUAUCCGCCUUAGUAGCUUGAGGCUCAAAAGCAUAGACGAGGUAAAAAUGUACUUCAAGCUGCUACAUUUAUAAAACUUUAUUUUGCCAAGGAAUGUCAAUUCCAAAACUGCUCGAGGGCUUUUUUUCCAUAUUUCUAUCAACUCGGGAAACGUGUCAGAGAUGGUCAAAACAUCUAGGUCAAGGCAUCCAACCUAAAACAACAAAUUCCUCCAUAUUAGUACAUUCAUAAUUCAAAAAUAAACACUCUUUGUUAGUUAUUCAACAAUGAAAGAAUAGGAAAGAAAAUCGAGCACUAACAUUCAUUGUAUCAGGACAAGGAAGCUAGAUAGCAUUAUGAAUUAACUCCGUACCUUUUGCAUGUACAACUGUUGUAUGGUGGUAUUCAAGUCACCUGCCCAACACCUAUUCAUGUAGAGACUACUCUUUUUUACACUUUGUAAUUGUGGGGUGCUUAAAACUCCCUCAGAAAAGAUCUUCAAUUUAGGACACCCUUCCACAACUACUUCUUCCAAACAAAGAAAGUUGAAGGUGUAACUUCCAGGACAAAAGCUUGUGAGGCUCUCUAAAUUGCUUAGUUGUAAACAUUUCAAGUUACGAACCACAAUCGUUUGAUGGUAGUCUCCCUCGUUUGCCACUAUUUCUGUCAUUUUAGUGCAGUUGCUUACCUCCAUUGUUGUUAAUUGCACAAGACUCUCAACUAUUAAGGGUGUAGCUAAGUUUGCCAUCAUUGCGCAAUUUGACACCUUUAAAGUUGUGAGAUUUUUAAAAGAUAAUGAUGAGGCUCCAAGAUUUAUCAAAUCAUCACAAUUCUUAAUUGUGAGUGUCUGGAGGUUAGAAAGAAUAUGGCCAAGCUCCGAAUCUUUCUUCCAUAUAUGCUUAAGAUUUUUGGAAGAAGUCAAUUGCAGAUUUUUUAUUGGUGAGGGAGUCCCAACAUCUCCCUCACAAGGGACUACAUGUUUGAAAUCAAAAUUAUCAAACUCGAGACUUUUCAGAUUGUAGAAUCUUCGGAGGAAAAAGAAUAUAAAAGGAGAUCCACCAUGAUGCCCUUUAAGAACUUUAAUGUGGGGAAACAAGUUCGGUGGAAACUGGCCCACAUCACCAACAAGAUCUCGUAACCGAAGUUGUUCUAGAUUGGGAAUGAUCUAGGAAACCAGUUAAACAUAAACAAAUCAAGCUCAAUGUUUGAGUAAUAGGAUUUUAUUUAAAAUUUUUAAGAAAACAGAACACCUUAUGAAUGAAAACUGAUAAAAAACACACACACACAACUUGAAAGUCGAUUGAAGAAUAACAAGUUUGAAUAAAAAAGGAUAAGCAAUCAUUGUUUCUGAUUUUAAAAAAAUAGGAAGAAUAAUGUAACUUAAAAAUAUAAUAAUUCAUGACAGUUGUACUUCCUUAAUUGCUUUCAAAACAAUAACCUCUUCUCUAACCCACUUUCCAUCUUACAUUUUUCUAUGGUUAAAUGCUUAGAUUAGAGUCCAAUUUUUUAGGGUUGCUCAUAGGCCUAACAUUUAUAAAAAUAUUCAAAUAAGAAAUUUUGAUGCAUUUCAACCUAAUUUGAGUUAAAAAAAAAAAGAUAAACUUUAACAUAUUUAGAAUAAAAUACAUGAUAGUCAAAUCAAAUAUUGCUUGAAAAUAAUAAAAAUAUAAUUUGAGACUUAAUAUACACUAUUUGAAAAGCCUUUAUUUGAGCACUUCACAAAACAGUUUGAUUCUUAUUUAAGCACUUUCAAAACAUUUUGGUCCUUAUUUGAGCAGCUUUCAUUUAAACAUUUUUAUGGCUAUCAAACCAAUGUAAGAUUCAGUUAAUUAAAUUGCAUUAUUAUGUCAUAUAACAUAACAUGCGGUUUAGAUGAUGAAAACAAAAAUAUUUGGAAUGAUAUACGUACCUGUUCAGUCAACAUUGCUGCCUCCCCAUUUCCCUUUCUUUCUUGCAUUAAUCUAACAUCUUCUAAGGCCACUAUCAUUAGCAAAGCAGAACUAUUUGUGCUCAAUGUUUUCAACAUGGGCCACAGGAUUGUAUGUUGCCCUUUAUAGGGACAUUUGAGCUCUUUUAAGUCUUCAACCACAAGUGAAGACACUUUGGGAAACUCAAACCUCAUAGGCUGCUCCUCUACUCCUUCCCCUUCUGAUACAAUCUCCUCCACCCCACAUUUUAUUAUGCUUAAAUCUUCAAGUUGUAGAAGAUGUUUGACUAUUGACGCUGGAAAUAGAAUUUUCAAACUCUCACACCCUGAAACACUUAAUUUUCGUAGAUUUUGAAAAGAAUCUGAUGGUAGGUCAUUUUGAAAUAUCAUCUUCACAUUACUCAACUGGAAGAUCGUCAUGGUUUCCAAGCUAGGAACAACAACCUAUUCAUAUAUAUAUAUAUAUAUAUGUAUAUAAUGCCCAUUUUAAAGUUAGCUCAUAUAUCGCAAGCAAAAAAACAAUAAAGGACAAAUCAAUUGAAUUAUACAAGUGUAAGACUAAUGAAAUAAAUCACCUUCUCAUUGAAGAGAGCCUGCAUGCCGGACUGAUUACUUAGUAUAUAUAUAUAUGUAUAUAAUGCCCAUUUUAAAGUUAGCUCAUAUAUAUAUAUAUAUAUGGAUUAUCACCAUUUAUAUACUCAUCAAUUCAUCUAAUAGAAAGCAAGAAGAUGUGAAUUAUUUAGUGCACAUAAAUAUUGAAUAUCAAACUCACCUUGUCGCAGAAUAAAGUUGUAGUGUUAUCUCCCACGCCUUGCUCGCCAAUCACUUUUUCACUCUCUCUUGAAAUAAAUGCCGUCAUUUUUGGACACCCAGCUAUCGCAAUAUCACUUAACUUUGGAAAUUCAAGAGCUCGACUUCCCAAAUAAAAAUUUGUCAAGUUGGAACACGCCUUUAUUUCUACAGAGGAGAGCUUAGGAAAUGUGAACUCAUGUGUUGUUGCUUCCUCCUCGUCUUCCCUAAUCACUUGUUCCAUUGUAUCGCAUUCUUGUACGUUUAUCCUUUCCAAUUGCUUGAGGCUCAAAAGCAUAGACAAGGUAAAAAUGUAUUUCAAGCUGCUACAUUGAUAAAAUUUCAUUUGGCUAAGGUUCUUCAACUCCAAAAUUGCUCGAGGGUUUUUCUUCCAUAUUUCUAUCGACUCGGGAAACUUGUUAGAGAUGGUCAAAUGAUCAAUUCGGCCAUAUAAUUGUCCCUAAAACAACAAAUUCAUCCAUAUUAUUACAUUCAUAAUUCAAAAAUAAACACUCAUUGUUAGUUAUUCAACAAUGAAAGAAUAGGAAAGAAAAUCGAGCACUAACAUUCACUGUAUCAGGACAAGGAAGUUAGAUAGCAUUAUGAAUUAACUCCGUACCUCUUCCAUGUACAACUGUUGUAUGGUGGUAUUCAAGUCACCUGCCCAACACCCUUUCUUAUCGAAACUAUUCGGUUUUACACUUUGUAAUUGUGGGGUGUUUAAAACUCCCUCAGAAAAGAUCUUCAAUUUAGGACAUACUUCCACAACUACUUCUUCCAAAUAAGGGAAGUUGAAGGUGUAACUCCCUCGACAAAAGCUUGUGAGCCUUCGUAGAUAGCUUAGUUUCAAGCAUUUCAAUUUACCAACAACUAUUGUUUGACGGUAGUCUCCCUCGUGUGCCACUAUUUCUGUCAUUUUAGUGCAGCUGCUUACCUCCAUUGUUGUUAAUUGCACAAGACUCUCAACUAUUAAGGGUGUAGCUAAGUUUGUCAUCAUUGGGCAAUAUGACACCUUUAAAGUUGUGAGAUUUUUAAAAGAUAAUGAGGAGGCUCCAAUAUUGAUCAAAUCAUCACAAAACAUAACUGUGAGUGUUUGGAGAUUAGAAAGAAUAUGGCCAAGCUCUGAAUCUUUCCUCCACAUACGCUGCAGAUUUCUGAGAUGAGACAAAUUCAAUUUUUUUAUUCGUGACGGAGUCCCAACGUCUCCCUUACAAGGGAGUCCAUCUCUGAAACUAAAAAGCUCAAGAUCAAGACUUUCCAGAUUGCAGAUUUUUCUCAGGAAAGGAAAUAUAGGAAAUCCAUCCCCGAAGCCACCAUUCACUUUAAGAACUUUAACGUGGUGAAACAAGUUCAGUGGAAACUGGCCUUCAUCACUAAGACGUCGUAACUCAAGUUGUUCUAAAUUGGGAAUGACCUAGGAAACCAAUUAAACAUUAACAGAUGAAGCUCAAUGUUGAUGUACAUGCUUAAAUAAAACCAAUGUACAGGAAUAGGAUUUUUUUUAUUUUAAGAAAUCAGAAUAGCUUAUAAAUGAAAAAUGAUUAAAAAAAAAAAACACAACUUGAAAAUAAAAAAGACAAGAAAUCAUUGUUUCUGAUUAAAACAAAAGGUUUUAAAACGCUAAUAUAAUAAUACAUGACACUUGUACUUCCUUAAUUGCUUUCAACACAAUAAGCUCUUCUCUGACUCACUUUCUUUCCAUCUUACAUCCUUUUAAGAGGUAUAAAAAUCUUCAAAUAAAGUCUUUACACGUAUGAGUAAAAAAUAAAUGAAUUUUAACGUAUUUAGAAUAAAAUAUAUAUGAGAAUUGAAUCAAAUAUUACUUGAAAAUAAAAAAUAAAAAAUAAAAAUAUAGUUUGAAACCUAAUAUACAACAUUUGAGAAAUCCUUAUUUGAGCACUUUUAAAAAGGUUCUUAUUUGCGUACUUUCAAAACAUUUUGGUCCUUAUUUGACCAUUUUAAAAGAUUUGAUUCUUAUGUGAGUAACCCUUUAUUUGAAAAUUUAACCUUUUUUAUCCUUGUUCGGGUGUUUCUUUCUAUUUUUUUCCAAAAAAAAAAAAAAAGGUAAACUACACUUAUGGUCAAUCUAAAGUAAGAUCUAUCUUAUUUUGAUCACUCUAAUUUUUUUUUUCUCAAUUUAACCACUCUAAAUAAGAUAAUUGUACGAAUUAAUCACUGAUGUUAAAAUUUUCAUUUUAUUUUAGUAGAUUGUUGGUGUAGCAUAUCAGUCCAUUGAACGAUUGACAUGUGGCUUUUUUUUGGCUUUUAACUAAAGAGUUAAUGGGGGGAAAGUUUUGGACUAAUUAUAGGAAUGUCCUAUUUUUUUAUGUACUUUUUGAGAUUUUUUUUAUAUUUUUUAAUUUAUAUAACUAUUUAUUUAUAUAUACAUAUUAAUUUUUAGGUUCAAGACUAAAUUGAUAGAAUAUGUAAAUAUUGGUUGUUAAAAUUAUCAAAAUGUUAGAAUCAAGACUAUUUAUCACUCAUUAACAUUAAAUAAGAGUGUGAUUGAUAAACCAUUAAAAAAUUUCAUUUCAUUGAAAAUGACAAUUUUCAACAUUUAAUUUUUUUAAUUGUGUUUGAGAACCAUAUCACCAUUUUACUUAAUAUAAAAAUUUUAACAAAAAAAAUGUUAGAACAUAAUAAGUAGAUAACUAUUUAUCACUUAAUGUGAAAAAUAGUAAGUUGAUUUUACUUUUGAAAUAAAUUAUUUCCUUUUUUUUUUUUUGAAAAAUAAAAAAACAACUUUUUAUUUAAAGAUAAUAUGAAAGUAUAAAAAGAUAAAUAUUAUCAUAAUAAUAUUAAUUAUAAUUUAAAAGAAUGAAUAUUAUGUAAUUACAUAAUUAAAUUGGUGAUCUGAUUAAGGGUAAUUCUAACUCAAGUAAAAUGCUUAAAUAUAAAUAUUAGAUAGAUAGGUCUAAUAUAAGACUUCAGUUAAUUAAAUUGCAUUAUAACAACAUAAGAUGCAUGUGAUGAUGAAAAGAAAUAUAUUUGUAAUGAUAUACAUACCUCUUCGACCACCACAACUGCCUCCCCAUUUCCCUUUCUUUCUUGGAUUCUAACAUCUUCUAAACCCAUUAUCAUUAGCAAAGCAGAACCAUCUGUGGUCAAUUUUUUCAACAUUGGCCACACAAUUGCAUGUUGCCCUUUAUAGAAACAUUUGAGCUCUUUUAGGGAUGUAACCUCAAGUGAAGACACUUCGGGAAACUCAAACCUCACAGGUUGAUCCUCUACUCCUUUCCCUUCCGAUACAAUCUCCUCCACCCCACAAUCACGUAUGCUUAAAUCUUCAAGUUGUAAAAGAUGUUUAGCUAUAGAUGCUGGAAAUAGAUUUUUCAAAAUCUCACACCCUGAAACACUUAAUUCUCGUAGAUGUUGAAAAGAAUUUGGUGGUAGGUCAGUAUGAAAUAUCAUCUUCACAUUACUCAACUUGGAGAUUGUCAUCGUUUCCAAGCUAGGAACAGCAACCUAUUCAUAUAUAUAAUUCAUGCCCAUAAGAAAGUUAGCUCAUAUAAUGCAGGGGCAAAAAUUAAAAAAUAAAAAAAGGACGAAUUAACUGAAUCAUAUAAGAGUGUAAGACUAAUGAAAUAAAUAAAUCACCUUCUCAUUGAAGAGAGUAUGCAUGCCGGACUCAAUACUGCUUUCACUAAUGAAUUCUUUUAAUUUCGGGCAACACCCAAUCGUUAGCUCUUUCAACGAAGGGAAUUCGAUAUUAUAAUUUCCUGAGCAGAAGGAGAUGAGGUUUGGAAGGAAAUCCAUACGCAGAAAGUUUAAUCGGCGGAAACAAAUCACAUUAUUCAUUUCUUCUUCUUCUUCUAUUUCCUCUGUAAAUAUUAUCUCCCUUAAGGACUCACAAUGCACUAUCUCAAAGCGGUGGAGCAGCACCAGACUCCUGGCGACAGAGGGUGAUAACAGAUGCUCCAACUUGCCGCAUCCACUGAUGAUCAACCUCCUCAAAUUCGAAUAUGUCUGCUUGUGCCAUAUUAUGUUGUUGUUAAUGGAAUGAUGGAAAACAAGUUGCAUACAUUUACAAACAAUUCUUUUCUUCUAAAAAUCUAAAUGGAAGGGAAACGAAAAGAUAAUACGUAACAUAAUUUGGAAAUAUGGUUUUCGAUUUUAAAGAAUUUUAGUUCGAACUGUGAAAUCCAAUUACAUUUUCAUAAUUUUUGUGUAUUGAAUUGAUUUUGGAUUUUCGAUCAGUUUGGAUUAAAAUUUAAAUUUUGGGUUUAAAAUUUAUUUUGUAACCUUAAAAACCAUUGGAUAAUUAAUUAUUUUAUUAUUAGAAAUUUAAGGUUAGUGGAUCAAAUAAUUAUUUAAUAAUUAUAACUUUUUGAUGAUGUCACUAAAUAGUUGCAGUAUAAAUAAAAGUUGUAAAAGAAUAUAUGAAUAAUGUCAAACAAAUACCUGAUUAAUUAAAAGUGGUUGGGGCUCAAAACUCGUGGAACACCUUUCCUCUUGACAGCAAAAGCUAAUAAGUUGCGGCAGCUGCUCAAGUGUUAUGGAACGUAAUUCAGAAAACUUAAUUUUGUUCAUUGUGAUAUAUUGCACCUGCAUACCAUUUCGGACAUGAAGAGACUGUAAAUGUGGAAAAUCGUUCCCUUUAUUUAACUCUGCAAGUACAUUCUUGAUGCCUUCAAGUCCUUUUAGGUCUAGGUACAAAUCUUCAGCCUUUCCCAGCAACAUUUUCACCCCAUUAUCCAAACAAAUGUUUGAAUAUAACUGGAGCGCCAAUCUCCUUGAACAUUCAUGUCUUGGAGGCCAGUUGGAUAUAAGAUGAUCACCUACAAAAAUCCUGUAUCUGUUCAAUGUCUCAAUGAAUCGAUGCUUUGGAAUCAUUUGGAUAUCAGGAAUACGAACAUAUAAAGUAGUUAGACGAGACAAAUUGUUUAAUUCAUCAAGGCUUGCAUUUCUCCUCUCGUUGUCAACAACUCCUUCAUUUUCCCAUUCAACAAAGCUUCCCUCCAUAUAUAAUUCUUCUAAUUUAGACAAACUUGAUAAGACAUUUGGCGGGAUGAUUUUGAGUGCUCCACACCAACUCAAAUCUAACAACCGUAACCGAGUCAAUUGUGCUAUCUUCUUGGGUAAUUCUUUGAUCCUUGACAAGGCAAGGUCAAGGAUUUCUAAAUUUUUAAGCUCUCCAAUGAUUGUUAUGUCUUCAACUCGCCAUCCUCUUAAACACAACAUGCGAAGAUUUAUGAGGUUAAUAAUUGACCCCGGUAGGUGAAUAAUUGACCCCGGUAGGAAGGUAAAUGAAAGUUCGUGAGGUAAAUCCAAGACUUCGAGACUUUUAAUUCGUCCGAAAAAAUCGGGAGGAAUUGCCACUGAAUCAUCAUGGGCCAUAUGGAAAAAGGAAAGACCUGAAUACUCCAUCUCCCUAGGAAGCUCGGCUACAAUUUGAGGACAAGGUAAGCUUAUCACUCUCAAGCUGUUCAUUUUCGCCUUAUCGGACCACUCCUUUGGAAUAUGAUCUCUCAAAACAAGCAUAUGGUAGUCCUUCGAUGCAAUAGCUAAAGCAGCAUCCCAAACAACAUCAUGGAUAUCAAAGUGCUCAUCAUCAUAACUAUCAAGCAACAGGGAAGACGCUUUGAGAUUAGCCACAACCGUCAAUACUUCAUUUCUAGCUUCUUCCAUAGUGUUGACACCACCAAAUAAACCCAAACCCACAGUAUAUCUCAUCAACUUCUCAACCAGACCAUUAUGGCCUAUUACACAGCAAAGCAAGAAAGUCAGCUUAACUUCCUCACUUUCUAAAUAAUUAAAACUCCACUCAAUAGCUGAAUAUGCUGCAGCUAUCCCCGUGAAGUUGCUUGAUGAAGGCCUCUCUAGUUCUCGUAAAGCAUUCUUCCACUCAAACAAUCUUUUGUUUCUCAAAGCCCCUGCAACUGUCGCAAUGGCUAUGGGCAAUCCUGCACAUUUUUUGGCUACUUCCAUAGCUAUAGGCUUCGAAUCGCAACUUUCAACACAACCGCCAGCCUUCUUCUUGAACAGGUCCCAGGCCUCCUUUUCAUUUAGAAACCCUAUUGCAAAACAUUUCUGAGCAUCCAUCCCAUUUGAUAAAACAUUUAGCUCUCUAGAAGUUAGCAGCAACUUGCAUCCCUUGUGCUCAUCUCCCAAAGGGAUCCCAACUUCCUCAAUAUCAACCUUUGCCCAAAUGUCAUCCAAGACAACCAGAACCCUCUUCUCUUUCUUCAAUCUUUCUCGUAGUCGAAGUGCCUUUACAUCAGUACUCGGCUCCUCAAAAUUCAAGCCCAAUAACUCUGCAAUUCUGUUCUGAAUUUUCUCAAUAUCAAUGGUUUGAGUUACUGUUGCUAUGACAACCGAAUCAAAUAAAUUGCCCUUGACCUUUCUAGCGAUUUCUUUGACUAGCAUUGUUUUUCCGAUCCCACCCAUACCGUGCACCCCAAUAACGCUGACGCUAUCAUCAUUUAGUGCCUCCAUUAUUCCAUUCAAAACCAACGUUCUUGACUCGAAAUCCUCGUACCCUUUAACUGGUGGGACAGCGAUACCUUGCAGAGGCAUAGGAUAAGAAACCUCGUCAAACUUGCCCUGUUCAAGUAGCUCGGCAACAGCCUUCGCCUCCGCUGCAGCUUUCAGGCUAUGCUUGUAACGAGUCCAAAAAUUAGGACACAAACCAAUGAAACACUUUUUCUUUGCUUUUUCUUCAUCUUGCAUCACUUUCUCUACUUGUUCAGUGAUCUUCCUGUCCACUGCAGACAACCAUUUGUCAACAUCGCCUUCGAUCUCUUUGCCGUUUCGUAAAGCUGCAUCAACAGAAUGCUGUACUCUGUCCCUUGCAUCUUUCAGCUUCUCAGCCUUGUCCUUGAGGGUCUCAACAUUUUGCUGAUGAUUGGAAAGGUAUUUGACAUGGUUUAUGAUAGGAGAAAUCGUAUACUCUGCAGCUUUAGUGAAAAUAGAGCUAACGAUGCCAAUAACGAACUCCAUUGAGAGAGCAAACAGCAAGUAAACUGAAAAACCACAGCCGCAACAGAAAUCAAAACAAAACCAGAAGAAAAAAGUACAAGUAAAAAUAAGUAAAAAGUAGAGCUUCUGUAAACAAACAAGUAAGACCAAAAUGAAAGCAGAUGGCGUACUUUUCCAAAAUGAAAAUAAUUUGCCUUAACGGAGUAAAGCGAGUAGUAAUUUGAGAAAAGGCAAGUCAAUGAAAAAGUAAGCAAGUUUCAAUUGUAUUGUAUGUUCAAAAAGCAUGCAUUACUUUCGCGGAUACAACGAAAAAGUGAAGAAGACAACAGACAUGAUGACCCAACACGCCCAUGCUUUUUCAUUUAUUGCAAUUUUUUUUUGUACACUAAUUGUGAAAAACUAUUUUCAUUUUUUUAAAAUUAUUCUCUCUUUAGUCAUGUGACAUUAAUUCAAUAUUAUUUUAUACUCAUUUUAGUCACCUAAUUUUAAUAAAUUUUUAUUUUGAUCACUCAUUUCAUGUUUUAAAUUAAUUUUAUUUUUUUCAAAAAAAUAUUUUUCUUUUUCUUUGCAACUCCAUUUUCUAUAAAAACCAAGAUAAUUCAUUGAAAAAACUCAAGUUUUUCUCUUGUUAAUGAAUAAAAACUAAAAUGAAAUUGCAAUAACAUUAAAUUAAAUUUAUUGGUGAGUGGCCAAAAUAAAAACAAUUUUAAUCCUAAACCCUAAAAUAAAAAUAAAUUUUAAUAAUAGUGCCUAAAAUGAAAAUUUUUAUUUUUUAGUACUAAAAAUAAAACUUUUUGACAAACUGUGACCAAUUAUAUAGUUUUCCCUAAAAUACUUUAGCUUGAUUAAAAUAGCCUUAUCUUUUUUUAACUUUAUUUUUUAUUUAUUAAUUUACAUUCUAUUUUUGUAAAGGUCACGAAAGAAAGGAGCAAGGUGUGACCAAUUAUUGAGUUGGGGGCUUAAUGGGAAUACUAGGCUAUUUUACUAAAAUAGUCUAAAAAAAUAUUAUAUUUAUAAAAAUAACUCAAGUUUAAAAAUAAUCAUGAAAAUAAUUAUGUUUACAGAAUAAUCACCUAUGAUUGUCUGAUAAUUGUGUCAGAUUUUAAAAAAAUAAUUUUUUGGGUUUUGGCCUGUUAAUGGGCGGAACUCGUGUAUUUUUUUAAAUUGUAUAAUAUUAAUAUAAGAAAAAAGAAAAAGAACAAAAAAUUGGGUGCUGGCCUGUCAAUGGCCUGCACCGAGUACAGCAGAGUAAAAAAAAAUUUUUUUGGGUGCUGGCCUGUCAAUGGCUGACACCCAGUACAGUAAAAAAAUUCGAAUUUUGGUCUAUCAAUGACCGGCACCAAAGUAUGAAAAAAAGUAAAAAAAUAUUUUUUUUGGGUGCUGGCCUGUCAAUGGCCGGCACCCAGUACAGUAAAAUUUUUUUUUAUUUUUUUUAAAAAUAUAUAUUUUUUAGUAUUGACUUAUUAAUGGCCUACACUCAGUACGGUAAAAAAAUUUACUUUUUUUCCUUUGUACUUAUUGUAUGUUCAAAAAACAUGUAUUACUUUCGCGGAUACAACUAAAAAGUGAAGAAGACAACAGAUAUAAUGACCCACCACGCCGAUGCUUUUUCAUUUAUUGCAAUUUUUAUUCGUACACUAAUUGUUGUUGAAGUUAGGUAGCAUUAAAUGUUGGGUAAAUUCCACAAUUGGUCAUUUAGGCAUUGCAGUCAAAAAUUAUUUUUAAAAUCUUUAGUCACGUGACAUUAAUUCAAUAUUAUUAUAGACUUAUUUUAAUCACCUAAUUUUAAUAAAUUUUUAUUUUAAUCACUCAUUUCAUGUUUUAAAUUAAUUUUAUUUUUUUUCAAAAAAAUACAUUCCUUUUUCUCUGCAACUCCAUUUCCUAUAAAAGCCCAAAUAAUUCAUCAAAAAAACCCAAGUUUUUCUCUUGUUAAUGAAUAAAAACUAAAAUGAAAGUGCAAUAACAUUAAAUUAAUGGUGAAUGGCCAAAAUAAAAACAAUUUUAACCAUAGUGCCUAAAAUGAAACUUUUUAUUUUUUAGUACCAAAAAUAAAACUUUUUGAAAAACGGUGACCAAUUAUAUAGUUUUCCCUAAAAUAUUUUAGCUUGAUUAAAGUAGACUUAUCUUUUUAUAACUUUAUUUUUUAUUUAUUAAUUUAUAUUCUCUUUUGGUAAAUGUGACAAAAGAAAGGAACAAGGUAUGACCAAUUAUUGAGUUGGGGGCUUAAUGGGAAUACUAUUUUGGUACUGUGUUUUGCAGGUAAAUUCGAAAAAAGAUAUUAUAAAAAUCUGUUGGAAAAAUAUCAACACAUAGAUCAAAAGCUAUCAACAUAUCUAUAUAACUAUUUAUAUAUAUGGCUAAAUUAGCCAAAAAAAGCAGAUUUAAAAAAAAAAUUGUUGUUUAGGCCCAUGUUUGACAUAUUUUUCGUAAUAGUUUAAUUUUUAAUAGAAAAACUAAAAAUGUGUAAGAAAGCACGAUACCCUUACCCUUACUUGACAUCGACAUUAAUUUAAACUUUAAAGUUUAAAAAAACUUAACAAAAAUCAAAAGUAUUGGUACACUUGACAUCGACAUCAAUUUGAAUUUUAAAGUUCAGAAAAAUUGAACAAAAAUUAAAAAUAUUAAUACACUUGAGAAAGUAUCGAUACUUUUCACCAUGUAUUGAUACCAUCAUCAAUCUUUCAAAAUUCUAUGUUUUUUUUUUGUUCAUUUUCAUAUGUAUUUUUCUUCUCAUAUUUUACCAUUUCUCAACCUGUUUGUUUACCUUACAAGUUUAUCAUAUCUAAAACAUGAUUUUAGCAAAGCUGCUAUUGUGGAACCAAAAAUAUUUUGUAUUUAUGAUUUAAAUGAAGGAAAUUUUUUUUUACUAUUUCUACAUUUCACAUUACUUUUUUGUGAAAAAAAUUAGAAAGUGGGAGACUUUCAAGUAAAUGUUGGGGAAAAGCAGGAUCAAUCAAUGAAGGAUAGUUUCAGCAAGGUCCCCAUAGUGGAGCCACCAUUGAUAAUUUCCUUUCAUUUUUGGAAAACAAUAGAAAAAUGUAAGUUUUGAUUUAAAAAAUGAAUGUAAUUUUUUUUUUGAGAUGAUAUUAAGAAAAUAUACAACUAGUUACACGAAAAAACUACUGAAAACCAAAACUAUUAGCUUUAUCCAUGUCUAAGAUUUCUUGAAUCUCUCUAGGAGAAGAAUCAAGUAUUUGCAACUCUUCCUUUCUUCUAAGAGCCAAUUUGGUUAUAGCGUCCACAACCUAAUUAUUCUCCCGAGAUAUAUGUUUUACAGGCCACUAGCCUUCGUGAGUCAAUAGGUAUUGGAUCCUCCUGAUUAGAGCAAAAUUCAAUAUGGUUGAUAUGCUAUCUUGAAUUGAUUUAAUAGCCUCCAAAUUAUUUGAUUGGACUAUCACCUUAUCAUGCCAAUCUGUUUCAUAGUAGGUUAAUACCAACCAAAAUGUUCCAUAAUUCAGUGUCAAAAGUUGAGUACUUCCCCAAAUGAUGAUUAUAUCCGAGAAUCCAAAACAAUGAAUAAAGCAAGAACUUUUAGGUUAGUUUUGAAAAAAGUCAAAACAAAAUAAUAACGUGGUAUGUUUGAAAUUAGUCCCUUUAUUUUUCUUUAUAAAUUUGAAAUUUUGUCAUGAUACUUUUAUUUUAAAGAAUUUAGUCUAUUUAUUUUUACAUUUCAAAAUUUAAGUCUAAACUAUUAGUAUUGUUAAAAUUAUUUUAUUAAAUUCAAGUUCAUUAUAAUAAUGUUAUUUCCUUAAUUACAUUGCUAUCAAGUAGGGGAGAAUCCAAAAGGGUAGGCAAAGGCCUUGAUCUCUUGGAUAAUAUUGGUAAAUCCUGGCUUCGCCUUUGGUAUCCAAUGAGUUUUUUUUUUUCUAAAGCAUGUAAUCAAUCAACAAUUUAUAGAGUUAAAUAAGUCGUUUUAAGAUUUGAUAAAAUUUUAUUUUUUAAAAAAACUAAAAAAUUUAUAGAGGACUAAAUAAGACUGCUUGGAAUAGGAAUUUGCGAAUUUUGUGUUCUUCAAUAUUUAAAUCGACUAAAAACAUAAAAGCUUAUGCCCUACCAGUUUUUGUACUUUUAGAGAGAGAAAAAAGAUUCAAAUAAAAAUAUUUAAUAGUAGAAUUUCUCAUUACUAAAAUUUUAAUAAAUUAAUACAACCAAUAAAAUUAAUUUAAUAAAAUAAAAAUCAAUUAUGGUUUGAAUAUUUAUUAUUUAAAACAAUAAGUGUUUCCUUAUCUAUUAAGUGUUUGGUGGAUGUUCAAUUCUUUUGUCAAUUUUUGCUCGCCGCUUUGGGCUAUCCGAGGCUAAUUUCCUUAUCUAAGUGUUUGCAACCAUUUCAGAUAUGUCGUGCUUGAGUUGUGACAAAGUUAAUUGUCAACGUGUCAUAAUGUUCUAAAGCCUUAGAAUUCAAUUAAACAUAAACAAGUCAUGCCCAAAUUUGGUGUUUGAUUUUUAUGAUUAAAUCCUAACAAAAUCAAUAUUAAAUCAAACGAAUCUAGAAUAGAUGGAUUUUUUUUUGUUGUUUUAAAAGAUCAUAAUACCUUAUAAAAAUUACACACCAUGAAAGUGGAAAGAAGAAUAGGAAGUAUGAUUUAAAAUUGAUAAACUAGCAUUGUUUAUGUAAUAGCCCGAUUUUCAGAAAUGUUGAAAAUAGUGGUACGAGAUCAUCAAAUUCAGAAAAUAAGCUCGUAAAUUUUAUUAUCAAUAAUUACGAGCCAAAUAUGAUUUUUAAGAGAUUUUUAAAUUAGUAAUUUGUAUUUUAUAAAAAAUUAUUAAGUCAAUAAAUUGAGGAAAAGAGUUAUCGAGACUUCGAUGUUAUAAACUGAGCCGUAAAUAUUUUUAUAAAUAUUUACGGAGUGUCAAUAUGGUAGUGUUAAAGUUCCGUCAGAAAAUUUUAAUGUUUUUGCAGUUAAUUAAUUAAAAAGAACUAAAUUGAAAAGAUGCAAAACUUGCUAAAGUGAUUAAAUAGCUUAACAAUUAAAUAAGGAAGGACUAAAAGAGAAAAUGGACCAAUUUAAGUGGCUGAGAUGGCAUACCGUUAAAAAAAUCUAACAUUUUUAUGUAUUAAGGACAAAUUUGGAAUUACAAUAAAGUUUAUGUGGCCAAAUUUUAUUUUAAGCAUUUCAAGACCAUUUCUUCUGGAAAUUUCGGUGGGAGACAGCCAUGGAAGAGGGUUUGGAGCUGGUAUUCCAUAUUUUGGCUUCAAGUAAGUUUAAUUCUUGCUUUGUCCUUGAAAUUUUUAUAUUUUUAGACUUUUACAAUUAGGUCCAACUUAGUAUUCUACUAGUUUCUCAUUUUGUUGAAAGUUUUGGAAGAUACUAAUGAUAAGUUCAUAUGAUUUUUGUUAUUUUGUGAUGAAAUUGAGAUGUUAAUGGAUGUUUAAAGGUGUUUUAUUAAAGAAUUUUAGAUGAAAACAAGUUUUAGGGAUUAAAUUGAAAAGUAUUGAAAUCAUGAAGAAAUUCUAAAAUUUCAUGGAAUCCAUGGGCUGUUAUUGAUAUGUAUGGGAAAUACUAGGCUUGAAUCAAGGAUUAUAUUGCAAGAAUUUCAUUUUCCAAGCCUAGGGACGAAAUUAUCAUAUAUUAAAAGUUUAGAGUCAAAUUGGUAAUCAAUAUAUUACACUAAACAGUUUUGGGCAGCAGCAGUGGCCUAAUUUUGAAAAAUCACCAAAAAUUGUGAGAAUUGAAAUAGAAGAUGAAUAAAAUAUAAAAUUAAAGCUUAUUGAGUCUAGUUUUUUUAUAGAAGAAAUGGUGUGAGCAAUGGAAUUGUAAAUUAUAAGAUAUAAUAAGUUUUGUGAGACAAUGUCAGAAUGAUUUGGGGUUUCCCUGUUCUGAUUUUGGAAAAUCAUCAAAAAUUUAAGAAAAAUAUUUAUGAGCUAUAAUUUAUAUGUUUAGAAUCCUUGGUGAGUCUAUUUUCAAAUGAAAUAAACGGAAACAUCAUCUGAAUUCUGUACAAUUAGAUAAUUCAUUUUUAGUAGAGAGUGGUCGGAACUGUCAGACAGCAAAACAAGAGAAACUUUAAAGAAUAAAUUGUAUUAAUUUGCUAAACCAAAAAUUCUGAAAAUUUUAUGGUAAGAAGAUAUGUGAGUCUAGUUUCAAGGAAAUUUUACGGAUCUUAAUUUGGAGCUCUUUAGCUCCAGAUAAAAAUAAUUGACUCUGACUCGGAUAAACAGCUUUGAAUAUAUAUGUGAGUGAAUAGUGAAAUUAUAGUUAAUGUUGUUUAAGCGUGUUAUAUACAUUAAGGAUGUGGAAUGGAGAGGAGGAGGAGAAAAAUUGGAAAAUAUAUGAUUGAUUUGUGUAUAAUUGGUCAUAGGCUUGAUUAUAAUUGAUAAAUGAUGAAAUCGAAAUGAUGCUUGUAUUUGUGCAUUAUUGGUCAUGGUAUAAGUUUAUGUGUGAAAAUAAAGUUUCAUAGUAUGUUUGUAUGGUAUAUUCCGUAUAUGAUUUGGCAUGAAUGGUUUAUGAAUUAACACAUGUUGGCUUUGGCCAAGUAGUGAUUAGAUUAUGCCACGUUAAAUUUAUAAGUUAUGCACCACGCCUAUGCUUUUUCAUUUGGCCAAGUAAAAAUGAACAAAAAGUAAAGCUUCUGUAAACAAACAAGACAGAACAAAUGAAAGCAGAUGGCGUACCUUUGCAAAAUAUAACAAGUGUAUUGUAUGUUCAAAAAACAUGUAUUACUUUCGCGGAUACAACUAAAAAGUGAGGCUAUUUUACUAAACUAGUCUGAAAAAAUAUUAUAUUUAUAAAAAUAAUCCAAGUUCAAAAAUAAUUAUUAAAAUAACCUAAAAUGAACAGCACCCACUCGUUUUUUGCACCAAUGAUUGCCUAAUAAUUGUUUCAGAAUUAAAAAAUUAAUUUUUUGGGUUUUGGCCUGUCAAUGGCCGAAACCCAUGUAUUUUUUUUAAAUUGUAUAAUACUGAUAUACGAAAAAGGAAAAAGAAAAAAAAUAAAAAAAUUAAAUUUUUGGGUGAAGGCCUGUCAAUGGCCGGCACCCAAUAGUAACAAAAAAAUUUUUGAAUUUUUUUCGUGUCAGAAUCAGAUAUCAGUAUACGAAAAAAGUUGAAAAAAAUUUUUUUGGGUGCUGGCUUGUCAAUGGCUAGCACCCAGUACAAAUUUUAAAAAACAAUUUUUUUUCUUUUUUUCGUGUAAAAAUCAGAUAUCAGAAUACAAAAAAAGUAAAAAAAAAUUUGGGUGCUGGCAUGUCACUGGCCGACACCCAGUACAAAUUUAAAAAAAUUUCUUUUUUGCGUGUAAAAAUCAUAUAUCAGUAUACGAAAAAAGUUAAAAGAAAUUUUUUGGGUGCUGGCCUGUCAAUGGCCGGCACCCAGUACAAAUUAAAAUUUUUUUCGUGUAAAAAUCAGAUAUCAGUAUAUUGAUAUCUGAUUCUGACAUAAAAACAAUUCAAAAUUUUUUUUGUUACUAUUGGGUGCCGACCAUUGACAGGCCAACAGCCAAAAAAUUAAUUUUUUUCUUUUUUUCUUUUCUUUUUUCGUAUAUCAAUAUUAUACAAAUUAAAAAAAAAUACAUGGGUUUCGGCCAUUGACAGGCUAAAAUUCAAAAAAUUAAUUUUUUUAAUUCUGACACAAUUAUUAGGCAAUCAUUGGUGCAAAAAACGAGUGGGUACUGUUCAUUUUAAGUUAUUUUGGCGAUUAUUUUUGAACUUGGGUUAUUUUUAUAAAUAUAAUAUUUUUUUAGACUGAUUUGGUAAAAUAGCCAAAAAGUGAAGAAGACAACAGACAUGAUGACCCACCACGCCUGUGCUUUUUCAAUUAUUGCAAUUUUUAUUCGUACAAUAAUUGUUGAAGUUAGGUAGCAUUAAAUGUUGGGUAAAUUCCACAAUUGGUCAUUUAGGCAUUGCAGUCAAAAACUAUUUUCAUUUUUUUAAAAUUAUUCCCUCUUUAUAGUUAAUGUUGUUUAAGCGUGUUAUAUACAUUAAGGAUGUGGAAUGGAGAGGAGGAGGAGAAAAAUUGGAAAAUAUAUGAUUGAUUUGUGUAUAAUUGGUCAUAGGCUUGAUUAUAAUUGAUAAAUGAUGAAAUCGAAAUGAUGCUUGUAUUUGUGCAUUAUUGGUCAUGGUAUAAGUUUAUGUGUGAAAAUAAAGUUUCAUAGUAUGUUUGUAUGGUAUAUUCCGUAUAUGAUUUGGCAUGAAUGGUUUAUGAAUUAACACAUGUUGGCUUUGGCCAAGUAGUGAUUAGAUUAUGCCACGUUAAAUUUAUAAGUUAUGCACCACGCCUAUGCUUUUUCAUUUGGCCAAGUAAAAAUGAACAGAAAGUAAAGCUUCUGUAAACAAACAAGACAGAACAAAUGAAAGCAGAUGGCGUACCUUUGCAAAAUAUAACAAGUGUAUUGUAUGUUCAAAAAACAUGUAUUACUUUCGCGGAUACAACUAAAAAGUGAGGCUAUUUUACUAAACUAGUCUGAAAAAAUAUUAUAUUUAUAAAAAUAAUCUAAGUUCAAAAAUAAUUAUUAAAAUAACCUAAAAUGAACAGUACCCACUCGUUUUUUGCACCAAUGAUUGCCUAAUAAUUGUUUCAGAAUUAAAAAAUUAAUUUUUUGGGUUUUGGCCUGUCAAUGGCCGAAACCCAUGUAUUUUUUUUAAAUUGUAUAAUACUGAUAUACGAAAAAGGAAAAAGAAAAAAAAUAAAAAAAUUAAAUUUUUGGGUGCAGGCCUGUCAAUGGCCGGCACCCAAUAGUAACAAAAAAAAUUUUGAAUUUUUUUCGUGUCAGAAUCAGAUAUCAGUAUACGAAAAAAGUUGAAAAAAAUUUUUUUGGGUGCUGGCUUGUCAAUGGCUAGCACCCAGUACAAAUUUUAAAAAACAAUUUUUUUUCUUUUUUUCGUGUAAAAAUCAGAUAUCAGAAUACAAAAAAAGUAAAAAAAAAUUUGGGUGCUGGCAUGUCACUGGCCGACACCCAGUACAAAUUUAAAAAAAUUUCUUUUUUGCGUGUAAAAAUCAUAUAUCAGUAUACGAAAAAAGUUAAAAGAAAUUUUUUGGGUGCUGGCCUGUCAAUGGCCGGCACCCAGUACAAAUUAAAAUUUUUUUCGUGUAAAAAUCAGAUAUCAGUAUAUUGAUAUCUGAUUCUGACAUGAAAACAAUUCAAAAUUUUUUUUGUUACUAUUGGGUGCCGACCAUUGACAGGCCAACAGCCAAAAAAUUAUUUUUUUUCUUUUUUUCUUUUUCUUUUUUCGUAUAUCAAUAUUAUACAAAUUAAAAAAAAAUACAUGGGUUUCGGCCAUUGACAGGCUAAAAUUCAAAAAAUUAAUUUUUUUAAUUCUGACACAAUUAUUAGGCAAUCAUUGGUGCAAAAAACGAGUGGGUACUGUUCAUUUUAAGUUAUUUUGGCGAUUAUUUUUGAACUUGGGUUAUUUUUAUAAAUAUAAUAUUUUUUUAGACUGAUUUGGUAAAAUAGCCAAAAAGUGAAGAAGACAACAGACAUGAUGACCCACCACGCCUGUGCUUUUUCAAUUAUUGCAAUUUUUAUUCGUACAAUAAUUGUUGAAGUUAGGUAGCAUUAAAUGUUGGGUAAAUUCCACAAUUGGUCAUUUAGGCAUUGCAGUCAAAAACUAUUUUCAUUUUUUUAAAAUUAUUCCCUCUUUAUAGUUAAUGUUGUUUAAGCGUGUUAUAUACAUUAAGGAUGUGGAAUGGAGAGGAGGAGGAGAAAAAUUGGAAAAUAUAUGAUUGAUUUGUGUAUAAUUGGUCAUAGGCUUGAUUAUAAUUGAUAAAUGAUGAAAUCGAAAUGAUGCUUGUAUUUGUGCAUUAUUGGUCAUGGUAUAAGUUUAUGUGUGAAAAUAAAGUUUCAUAGUAUGUUUGUAUGGUAUAUUCCGUAUAUGAUUUGGCAUGAAUGGUUUAUGAAUUAACACAUGUUGGCUUUGGCCAAGUAGUGAUUAGAUUAUGCCACGUUAAAUUUAUAAGUUAUGCACCACGCCUAUGCUUUUUCAUUUGGCCAAGUAAAAAUGAACAGAAAGUAAAGCUUCUGUAAACAAACAAGACAGAACAAAUGAAAGCAGAUGGCGUACCUUUGCAAAAUAUAACAAGUGUAUUGUAUGUUCAAAAAACAUGUAUUACUUUCGUGGAUACAACUAAAAAGUGAGGCUAUUUUACUAAACUAGUCUGAAAAAAUAUUAUAUUUAUAAAAAUAAUCUAAGUUCAAAAAUAAUUAUUAAAAUAACCUAAAAUGAACAGCACCCACUCGUUUUUUGCACCAAUGAUUGCCUAAUAAUUGUUUCAGAAUUAAAAAAUUAAUUUUUUGGGUUUUGGCCUGUCAAUGGCCGAAACCCAUGUAUUUUUUUUAAAUUGUAUAAUACUGAUAUACGAAAAAGGAAAAAGAAAAAAAAUAAAAAAAUUAAAUUUUUGGGUGCAGGCCUGUCAAUGGCCGGCACCCAAUAGUAACAAAAAAAAUUUUGAAUUUUUUUCGUGUCAGAAUCAGAUAUCAGUAUACGAAAAAAGUUGAAAAAAAAUUUUUUGGGUGCUGGCUUGUCAAUGGCUAGCACCCAGUACAAAUUUUAAAAAACAAUUUUUUUUCUUUUUUUCGUGUAAAAAUCAGAUAUCAGAAUACAAAAAAAGUAAAAAAAAAUUUGGGUGCUGGCAUGUCACUGGCCGACACCCAGUACAAAUUUAAAAAAAUUUCUUUUUUGCGUGUAAAAAUCAUAUAUCAGUAUACGAAAAAAGUUAAAAGAAAUUUUUUGGGUGCUGGCCUGUCAAUGGCCGGCACCCAGUACAAAUUAAAAUUUUUUUCGUGUAAAAAUCAGAUAUCAGUAUAUUGAUAUCUGAUUCUGACAUGAAAACAAUUCAAAAUUUUUUUUGUUACUAUUGGGUGCCGACCAUUGACAGGCCAACAGCCAAAAAAUUAAUUUUUUUCUUUUUUUCUUUUUCUUUUUUCGUAUAUCAAUAUUAUACAAAUUAAAAAAAAAUACAUGGGUUUCGGCCAUUGACAGGCUAAAAUUCAAAAAAUUAAUUUUUUUAAUUCUGACACAAUUAUUAGGCAAUCAUUGGUGCAAAAAACGAGUGGGUACUGUUCAUUUUAAGUUAUUUUGACGAUUAUUUUUGAACUUGGGUUAUUUUUGUAAAUAUAAUAUUUUUUUAGACUAAUUUGGUAAAAUAGCCAAAAAGUGAAGAAGACAACAGACAUGAUGACCCACCACGCCUGUGCUUUUUCAAUUAUUGCAAUUUUUAUUCGUACAAUAAUUGUUGAAGUUAGGUAGCAUUAAAUGUUGGGUAAAUUCCACAAUUGGUCAUUUAGGCAUUGCAGUCAAAAACUAUUUUCAUUUUUUUAAAAUUAUUCCCUCUUUAGUCACGUGACAUUAAUUCAAUAUUAUUAUAUACUCAUUUUAAUCACUCAAUUUUAAUAAAUUUUUAUUUUAAUCACUUAUUUUAUAUUUUAAAUUAAUUUUAUUUUUUUCAAAAAAAAACCUUCAUUUUUGUCUGCAACUCCAUUUUCUAUAAAAACUCAAAUAAUUCAUCGAAAAAAACUCAAGUUUUUCUCUUGUUAAUAGUGAGUGACCAAAAUAAAAAUAAUUUUAACCGUAGUGCAUAAAAUGAAAAUAAUUUUUAAUAAUAGUUCAUAAAAUGAAAUUUUUUUAUUUUUUAGUACCAAAAUAAAACUUUUUGAAAAACGGUGACCAAUUAUACAAUUUCCCCUAAAAUAUUUUAGCUUGAUUAAAGUAGCAUUAUCUUUUUAUAACUUUAUUUUUUAUUUAUUAAUUUAUAUUCUCUUUUGGUAAAGGUGACAAAAGAAAGGAACAAGGUAUGACCAAUUAUUGAGUUGGGGGCUUAAUGGGAAUACUAUUUUGGUACUGUAUUUUGGAGGUAAAUUCGAAAAAAGAUCUUAUUAAAAUCUGUUGGAAAAAUAUUAACACAUACAUCAAAAGCUAUCAACAUAUCUAUAUAACUAUUUAUAGCCAAAAAAAACAAAGCAGAUUUUUUAAAAAAAAUGGUUGUUUAGGCCCAUUUUUGACAUAUUUAUGGUAAUAGUUUAAUUUUUAAUAGAAAAAGUAAAAAUGUGUAAGAAAGCACGAUACAUUUACCCUUACUUGACAUCGACAUCAAUUUGAACUUUAAAGUUCAAAAAACCUUAACAAAAAUUAAAAGUAUUGAUACACUUAAGAAAAUAUCGAUACCUUUCACCAUGUAUUGAUACCAUCAUCAACUUUUCAAUAUUCUAUCUAUGUUUUUCUUUUGUUCAUUUUCAUAUGUAUUUGUCUUCGCAUAUUUUACCAUUUCUCAACUUGUUUGUUUACCCUACAAGUUUAUAUAUUUAAAACAUGAAUUUAGCAAAGCUGCUAUUGUGGAACCAAAAAAUAUUUUGUAUUGAUGAUGAGAUUUAUGGAACUUACAAAUUGGCUAUCAGGCCUUGAAAGAAUGGGUGGUAGUGGUGGUGGCAGCUGCUUCCUUGUGAGGCUGCUAUAGUGGCACUUUCCUUAAACUAAUAUUGUAAAGGUACUCCCAUUUUUAAUGGUAUCUCGCUCUCUCUAUUCUAAUAAUGUUUUCUUUUCUCUCCAUUAAAUUAUAGAAAAAAGAUUUUGGUAUCGGAGGAUUCACCAUGUAUCCAUCUUCUAAAGUUAGGAGAAGACUACCAUUAGAAAGUAGCAUUACACAAAGCAUCUCUCUUUCCCCACAUUGUCGAUAAAUCUCUGUAAUCCAAUUAACAGAUUUAUAAAUUCCAUUGUAACUCUAAACAUAAGAAACAAUACCUGCAAGGGUACGGAUAUUAAAAAUGCAUCAUCCUAGACACAAUGUCAUUUUCUCUCUUCAAAAUCGGCCUAUUCCAAUAAAUAUAUAAAAAAUAAGCCUAAACAACCAAAUUUUUUCUUAAAUCGGCCUUCCUGACUAAUUUAGAUUUUAUAUAAGAACGAUGAUUUAUGCUUCACAUAAAUUAGAUCAAUAAUCGAAGUAAGUAUAUAAGUGGGUGUGAACUUAUUAAAAAUAUCAAGAAAGUAACAUAUAUAUAAUUAAAUAUAUAAUUAGUUAACUAAUGAGGUGUCACAAAUACUAGAGUGCUACGUUCAAAAUUGAAAAAAAUUAUUAAAUUUUAAAAUUAUGUGAAAAAAAAUUACAGAUCAAAUUAAAAGAAAAUGUCAUGUUCGGAACUAAAUGUUGACUAACCUUCAUUUAUUAACCCAAAUGUUAAUAGGAUUAAAUAUCUUAAAGUAAUUUUAAUCUCUAAAAUUUAACACGAUUGAAAGUUUUUAAUUUUUUUUAGGCAUAAUAAUAAAUUUAGCUUCUAAUAUUUAUUGUUUUUUACUUUAAUCUUAAUUUUUUAUUGCUUUAACUCUCAACCUUACAAAUAUAAUCAAAUUGUUUUUCACUUUAGUCUUAAUUUUGUUCUCCUCUCUAAUGGGGUUUUCAAGGACAAGAAGAUCAUACUCUCUUAUUGCUCUUAGCUUUCUCACCAUUUCAUUUCUACGUUUAUGAUAAUACUCUAAAAUGACAUAUUUUUAUGUAUUAAUUACAUAUUUAUUUUGAGUACGAUCUUAUUAAUUUGUACUUUUUAUGAUUUUUUAUUUUGUAGGGAUUAAAUUGCAGGCAAAAGGAAUUUCCCCUUCUCACUACAAGUGAGCUUUUUCCCUGUUGCGAUCUCUUUGUUCUGUAUCGGCCUUCCGAGUAACAUGAUUACUAGUCUCUUGUUUAUGUAUGUAUCAGUGGCAUAGAUUGGAAUGAGCCAGGAGUAAGGAAUUGUUCAAGGCAGACGACACCAUUCAAGGGAUCGAUUUAUCCAACUGGUUUGCCUCUGGCAGAGUACGUAGUUAAAGAGGUCAUAAGGAACAUCAAGAAACCUGUUCAUUUGCUUGAUAUUACAAUGCUCUCUCAAUUAAGAAAAGAUGCACAUCCUAGCACUUACAAUGACUUCAACGGCAUGGAUUGCACCCACUGGUGCGUUGCCGGCCUCCCCGAUACAUGGAAUCUACUUCUGUAUGCAGCUCUCAUCAAAUAGUAGAGAAAUUUGGUUCAGGCACUAGCCACCCAACAUAUAUGUGGUCUCCUUAAAUUAUUUAUUUUGCUUACUCAAAAAAGAUCAUAAGAUUAUACAUUGAAAAUAUAAUAAAUUUGUUUACUUCUGUUUGCAGUUCUCAAUUAUGCAUGUGAUGUAAUUCAAUUAUUUAUGGCAUUGGUUUGUUUUCUUCUUGCUUUAGAUUGUUUCUCCUAUUGCCUAAAAAAAGAGAAUUGGUGAUAUUAUGAUUGUGAGGAUGAAUAUGAGAAUCCUGGGAUUGAAGAGAUAUUAGCUUCAACUUUUCAUCAAAAUACUGAAAUAAGUACAUAAUAUUCUUUAUAGAGAGAACAAAAAAAGAAGAAACAAGCACACGCAAAAUGAGUAGCAAUCUUAAUUAAAUCAUCUAAUCCCCCAAGCUGAUACAAAAAUACCAGCAAAAAGUAUAAUGUGGCUGAAAUACAUCCAUAAAACUGGGGUCAACCUUACUACUAAAAGUUUUCAUGUUUGUAAUUCCCAGUGCCAAGCAUGAUGCACUUCAAAAUCAAUACUUUGGUAAUAAUGUGAAAUGCAACAGUUCAAUAGUGGAUUUGCAAAAACAGAAUAAAGGAAAGUGGACGCCCCCAUACUCCAACAGAGCAACUCAACCUACAAUGAAAAAGGCAUUUCCAUGGUCACUUUGUAAAGCAUUAGUUAAGCCAUGAUGAAAAUAGAAGAGUAAAUUACCAUUUGGUUUGAAUUGAAAUGAAACUGAGCUUGUCUCACACGCACCCCAACAUAUUUCCUUAUUUCAUUUGGAGCAACUGAUCAGUAACCUCGACCGCUUGAGAAUUUUGAACAUUCUGUACGUGCGUGAUCAAAAGAAACAAUUAUAAAGAAAGGUAAAACCAACGUUUUCAAAAGUAAAACACUUUAAAAUGAUUGGUACCAUUUGAUCGAACAUAUGCUUUAUGGUGGUGUUAAGGUCGCCUUCCCACUGCAGUUCACCAUCCUCAUCUCUUGUUAAGUGCAUUUGUUCCAGCCUUGGUGUGCUUAACUCCCCUUGAGAGAAAUUCUUCAUUUUGGGGCAGUCUGUCACUAUCACCAUUUGCAAGACUGGGAACUCCAACGAGUGAUGCGCCAAUGAAAAGCUUGCUAUACUUGGCAGAUGACUUAGUUGCAAAUACUUCAGCUUGGGAAAAACAAUGCUGGCCUGUAAGUCUUCACCUUCACAUGAUAUGAUUUCUUCUAUCAACUCAGAAUCAGCUAUGCUCAAUCUUUCUAGUAGUGUCAGGCUCUUAGCUGUCGAGCAUGCCAUUAGAUUGAUGAAUCCAUGGCAUCUUGAAACUUCCAUACUUAAUAGAUUUUUGACAGACAACAAAAAUGGCUCUAAAGUCUUUAAUGUUAGCUCUGGAAGUUGAGACAACCUUAAGGCCUCUAACUGAUAGCAUGCCCAUGUGUGCCUUUCCUCGUUGAUGAGUCCUUCAAACCGGACUAUUUCAGAAAUGGAGGCAUUGUUUAUAACAAGCUUCUCAAGCUUUGGUAGUGACUGAAUGAAGGAAUAUGGAAGAGUAGUAGAUGUCUCAGGAAAGAAUUGGAGGUUAAGAAGUUUGAGGUUUGGGAAACACUGCAAUGAGAGUUGUCCAUCACAUAUCCCCUUUAUCAUAUCAUUCGUCUUCAGUGUUAAUUCUUGUAAAACAGGGAAAGUGUCCUGGACAACAACAAAUAUAUUGAACAUUGACUAAGGAGUUUUAAAUUUGAGUUAGUUCAAAAGGCAACUUAUAGGGAACCUCAUUUGAUUUGAAUAUAAAUUCAAGUAAUGAACAUGGAAUAUAAACUAUCAGUGAGCAGACCUCAUUGACGCAAAACAAGGGUUGUUGGUUUGGGAUUUCAACCUCACCAAAUAUCUGUGCUUUGGGGCAUUCAAUAACCUUCAUAAAUUUCAAUGACGGCCAUUGGGUGGUAUGCAUCCUAGAGCAGAAACUUUUCAAACUCGGCACCUUAUCCAGUCCAAGGUGCGUUAGACGGGGAAAUACAAACUUGGUCAUCACUGUUUCUGCCAUAGUAGACCGAGUAGCUGAUGUUGACUGUGCUUCAUUGGCAUUGAGUGCUUGCAGCUCAAUUAUUUCUUCUAACGAAUCACAGCCCUGAAUCAGCAACUUCUUCAACCAAGGGAAAACAACCUAAUACAUCAUUAGAUUGGGUUAAUAACUGAAAUAUGUUGAAAUGAAAAAGAUUAAUGAAAGAAGUAAAAGGAGAAGAGAACAAUAGUAAAGUAAAAGAGGAAGAAAUGACCUUUUGAUUGAGGACAGCAGAGUUAUUUGUUUGUGUAGGUUGGUGAAUUUGAGUUUCAUCUCCACAUACAGAUUUAGAGAUGAUUGUUCUCAGCAGAGGACAAUUUGUUAGUGUUAAAUCUCUUAAGUAUGGGAAUUCAAAGCCAUUCUCAAAGCAGGUAUCUUUGAGUUUGGGAGGGUCUUCCAGACACAGGGACUGCAGUGUAGGGAACAUCUGAUUCCUCUCUGGUGAGUAGGAUGGGUGGUGCCAUAUCUUAUGAAUGUUAAUGGAGGACAACUUCAGAUUCAUCAAACGGGGAAUGACAACCUGUUGACAUAAAUAAUAUGAGUUUAGAUUUUAUGAAUAUAAAUAACAAUAUAAAUUAUAACACAUUUCUAUUUUCAUCAAAUAAAUUCAGUUGUAUUUUAAGGUUAGAGAAAAAAUUAGAAAAAAUAAUUUGUUUUUAAAAUGUCUUUCAAAUAAAUAUUUAUACUAUUAUUCAAAUACCAAACUUUUAAAACAAAAAUCAUAUAUUAAAAGUAUUAUAUAUGUACUUUAAUUUAUUUUAAAAAUAAGAUAAAAAUUAUUCUAUUGACGAUUCGAGUUUGGAUGCAUACUCAUAUCAGCACAACUAAAAUUUAAAUAAAGUGAAUAAAGUUUACGCUUCGCUCAAAUUCAUCAAAUAGAAAGAUGAUAUGAAUUAAUUAGUUCAGAUAAAGAUUGAAUGCCAAACUGACCUUGUCACAGAAUAAAGCGGCAGUAUCAUCUUCCACAUCUUGCUCGUCAAUCACUUUUUCACUCUUUCUUGAAAUUGUAGAAGAAAAUGCCCUCAUUUUUGCGCACUCAGCUAUCGUAAUAUCCCACAAAUUUGGAAUUUCAAGAGGUCGACUUCCCAAAUAAAAAUUUGUCAAGUUGGAACACAUCUCUAUUUUUACAAAGGAGAGCUUAGGAAAUAUCAAAUUAUGUAUGGUUGCUUCCUCCUCGUCUUCCCUGAUCACUUGUUCCAUUGCAUUGCAUUCUUUUACUUCUAUCCUUCUUAGUUGCUUCAGGCUCAAAAGCAUAGACGGGGUAAAAAUAUAGUUCAAGCUGCUACAUUUAUAAAUCUCCAUUCUGCUAAGGUUCUUCGACUCCAAGAUUUCUUGAGGGUUUCUUUUCCAUAUUUCUAUCAACUUUGGAAACGUGUCAGAGAUGUUCAAAUCAAAUGGGAUAUUGAAUCCACCCUAAAACAACAAAUCCAUCCAUAUUAUUACGCUCAUAAUUCAAAAAUAAACACUCUUUGUUAGUUAGUCAAGUAGGUUUUAAUUUUUUUUAAAAUGAUGAAAGAAUAGGAAAGAAAAUCGGGCACUAACUUUUAUUGUAUCAAGACAGGAGUAAGCUAGAUAGCAUUAUGAACCAACUCCGUACCUUUUUUGUGUACAACUGAUGUAUGGCGGUAUUCAGGUUCCCUUUCCAACACACAUUUCGAUUGUAACGCUCUUGGUUUACUCUUUGUAAUUGCGGGGUGCUUAAAGCUCCCUCAGAAAAGAUCUUCAAUCUAGGACACCUUUCCACAACUACUUCUUCCAAACAAGGGAAGUUGAAGGUGUAACUCCCUGGACAAAAGCUUGUGAGCCUUUGUAGAUAGCUUAUUUCUAAACAUUUCAAUUUCCUGACAACUAUUGUCUGAUGAUAGUCUCCCUCAUUUGUCACUAUUUCUGUCAUUUCAGUGCAGCCUCUUACCCUCAUUGUUGUUAAUUGCACCAGAUUCUCAACUACUAAGGGUGUAACUAAAUUUGUCAUCAUUUUGCAAUUUGACACCUCCAAAGUUGUGAGAUUUUGGAAAGAUAAUGACGAGGCUCCAAUAUUUUUCAAAUCAUCACAAUACCAAAUUGUGAGUGUUUGGAGAUUAGAGAGAAUAUGACCAAGUUCCGAAUCUUUCCUCCAUACAUGCUUAAGAUUUUUGGAAGAACGCAAUUCCAGAUUUUUUAUUGGUGAGAGAGUCCCAACAUCUCCCUUACAAGGGACUACAUGUUUGAAAUCAAAAUAACUAAACUUUAGACUUUCCAAAUUGUAGAAUCUUCGGAAGAGAGGAAAUAUAUAAGAAGAUCCACUAUGGAAGCCACCACCCACGCGAGGGAACAAAUCCAGUGGACAUUGAUUCAUAUCACUAAAAUUUCGUAACUCAAGUGUCUCUAAAUUGGGAAUGACCUAGGAAACCAAGUAAACAUUAACAAAUGAAGCUCAAUGUUGAUGUACAUGCUUAAAUAAAACCAAUGUAGAGUAAUAGGAAUUUUCUUUUUAAAAAUUUAAGAAAACAGAAUACCUUAUGAAUGAAAACUGAUAAUAAUAAUAAUAAUAAUAAUAAUAAUAAUAAACACAAGUAGAAACCCGAAUGAAGAAUAGGAAGUCUGAAUUAAAAUGCACAAGCAAUCAUUAAGUUUCUGAUUAAACAAAAAAAGGCAGAAUAAUGUAAGUUAAAACAAAAGGCUAAUAUAAUACAUGAUACUUUUACUUUUUUAAUUGCCUACAAAACAAUAAUCUCUUCUCUUAAAUGCUCAAAUUAGUGUGCAACCUUUCAAAUGUUGAUAUAAGCCCAACCUUUAUAAAAAUCUUUAAAUGAACAUUUUUCACUUACUGCAAUUCAAGUUGAGUAAAAAAUAAGUGAAAUGUAAUAUAUUUAGAAUAAUAUACAUGACAGUUGAAUCAAACAUUGCUUGAAAAUAAUAUAAUAUAAUAUAAAUAUAAUUUGAGACAUAAUAUACAUUAUUUGAGAAAACCUUAUUUGAGCACUUUCAAAAAAGUUUUGGAACUUAUUUGAGCACUUUAAAAGGUUUGGUUUUCAUUUGAACAUUUUUGUAAAUGUUAGGCUCUUAUACGAGCAUUUUAAAAAUUUUAACUCUUUUGUGAGCAACCCUUAAAAGGUUAGGCCUCUAUUUGAGCAUUUAGCCUUUUUUUUUAUCCACCUUGUCAUAACACUUUGUACUUUUUCUAUCUUUUUCACAAAAAUAAAAGGUAAACUACAACUAUGGUCACUCUAAAAUAGGGUUUGUCCUAUUUUGGCAACUUCAAUUUUUUUCUCAAUUUAGUCACUUUAAAUAAGAUAACUGUGCAAAUUUGUCACUGUUGUUAAUGGAUUGUUAAUGUGACACAUUAGUCUAUUGAGUGACUGACAAGUGGUUUUUUUUUUAUAAACUAAAGUUUAAGCGCAAAAAGUUUUGGACUAAUUAUAAGGAUGCCUUUAAACUUUAGUCAAAAGUCAAUAAAAAAUUUCACUUGUUAGUCACUCAAUGUGCUAAUAUGUCACAUAACAAUCCAUUAAAAGAAAACAAAAAAUUUAACAGUAAUAACUAACUCACACAAUUAUCUUAUUUAGAGUGUCUAAAUUAAAUUUUUUUUUAAAAAAAUUAAAGUUUGAAAUGGUAUUAUUCUAUUUUUAAAAUAUAUCGUCUCAUAUUUUUUAAAUUUAAUUUUUUUAAAAUGUGUUUCAUAACCAUAUUAACAUUUUAUUUAAUAUAAAAAUUAUAACAAAAAAGUGUUAGAAUAUAAUAAGUAAAUAUAUAACUAUUUAUCACAUAAUGUGGAAAAUAGUAAGUAGAUUUUAUUUGUCAAAAUCUUAUUUUUGAAAUAAAUUAUUUCUUCAUUUUUAGAAAAAUAAAAAUAAAAAAUUUAACUUUUAUUUAAAUAUAAUAUAAAAAUAUAAAAUAUUAUCAUAAUAAUAUUAAUUAUGAUUUUAAAAAUUAAUAUUUAUAUAAUUUCAUAAUUCCAAUGAUGACCCUAAACCAGUAAAUACUUAAAUAUAAGUAUUAGAUAGAUAUCUCCAAAGAAAUGCCUAUCAAAGCAAUGUAAGAUUCAGUUAAUUAAAUUGCAUCAUUAUGGCAUAUAACAACAUAACAUGCAUGUGAUCAUAUACGUACCUCUUCAACCAACAAUACUGCCUCCCCAUUUCCCUUCCUUUCCUGGAUUCUAACAUCUUCUAAACCCACUAUCAUUAGCAAAGCAGAACAAUCCGUGGUCAAUUUUUUCAACAUUGGCCACGCAAUUGUAUGUUGCCCUUUAUAGAAACAUUUGAGCUUUUCUAAGUGUUCAACCAUAAGGGAAGACACUUUGGGAAACUCAAAACUCACAGGCUGCUCCUCUACACCUUCCCCUUCCGAUACAAUCUCCUCCACCCCACACCGAAUUAUCCAUAAUUGUUCAAGUUGCGGAAGAUGUUUGGCUAUUAACGCUGGAAAUAUAUUUUUUAGCCUCUCACAGUUUGAAACACUUAAUUCUCGUAGAUUUUGAAAAGAAUCUGGUGGUAGCUCAUUAUGAAAUAUCAUCUUCGCAUUUAUCAACCCGGAGAUUUUCAUCCUUUCCAAGCUUGGAAUUGCAACCUAUUCAUAUAUAUCAUUCAUGCUCAUAAGAAAGUUAGCUCAUGUAAUGCAGGACGAAUCAACUGAAUCAUAUAUAAGACUAAUGAAAUAAAUAAAUCACCUUCUCAUUGAAGAGAGUAUGCAUGCCGGACUCAAUACUGCUUUCACUAAUGAAUUCUUUUAAUUUCGGGCAAAACCCAAUCGUUAGCUCUUUCAACAAAGGGAAUUCGACAUUAUAAUUUCCUGAGCAGAAGGAGAUGAGGUUUCCAAGGAAAUCCAUACGCAGAAAGUUUAAUCGGGGGAAACAAAUCACAUUAUUCAUUUCUUCUUCUUCUUCUUCUAUUUCCUCUGUAAAUAUUAUCUCCCUUAAGGACUCACAAUGCACUAUCUCAAAGCGGUGGAGCUGCACCAGACUCCUGGCGACAGAGGGUGAUAACAGAUGCUCCAACUUGCCGCAUCCACUGAUGAUCAACCUCCUCAAAUUCGAACUCCUAUGAUAUGUCUGCUUGUGCCAUAUUGUGUUGUUGUUAAUGGAAUGAUGGAAAACAAGUUGCAUAAAUACAAACAAUUCUUUUCUUCUAAAAAUCUAAAUGGAAGGGAAACGAAAAGAUAAUACGUAACAUAAAUUGGAAAUAUGAUUUUCGAUUUUAAAGAAUUUUAGUUCGAACUGUGAAUUCCAAUUACAUUUUCAUCAUUUUUGUGUAUUGAAUUGAUUUUGGACUUUCGAUGAGUUUGGAUUAAAAUUUAAAUUUUGGGUUUGAAAUUUACUUUGCAGCCUUAAAAACUAUUGGAUAAUUAAUUAUUUUAUUAUUAGAAAUUUAAGUUAGUGGAUCAAAUAAUUAUCUAAUAAUUAUAACUUUUUUGACGAUGUCACUAAAUAGUUGCAUUAUAAAUAAAAGUUGUAAAAGAAUAUAUGAAUAAUGUCAAACAAAUACCUGAUAAAUGAAAAGUGGUAGGGGCUCAAAACUCGUGGAACACCUUUCCUCUUGACAGCAAAAGCUAAUAAGUUGCGGCAGACGCUCAAGUUUUAUGAAACGUAAUUCAGAAAACUCAAUUUUGUUCAUUGUGAUAUAUUGCACCUGCAUACCAUUUUGGACAUGAAGACUCUGUAAAUGUGGAAAAUCGUUCCCUUUAUUUAACUCUGCAAGUACAUUCUUGAUGCCUUCAAGACCUUCUAGGUCUAGGUACAAAUCUUCAGCCUUUCCCAGCAACAUUUUCACCCCAUUAUCCAAACAAAUGUUUGUAUAUAACUGGAGCUCCAAUGUCCUUGAACAUUCAUGUCUUCGGAGCCACUUGGAUCUAGGAUGAUUACCUACAAUAAUCCUGUAUCUGUUCAAUGUCUCAAUGAAUCGAUGCUUUGGAAUCAUUUGGAUAUCAGAAAUUCGAACAUAUAAAGUAGUUAGACGAGACAAAUUGUUUAAUUCAUCAAGGCUUGCAUUUCUCCUCUUGUUGUCAACUACUCCUUCAUUUUCCCAUUCAGCAAAGCUUCCCUCCAUAUAUAAUUCUUCUAAUUUAGACAAACUUGAUAAGACAUUUGGUGGGAUGAUUUUGAGUUUUCUACACCCACUCAAAUCUAACAACCUUAACCGAGUCAAUUGUGCUAUCUCCUUGGGUAGUUCUUUGAUCCUUGAGAAAGCAAGGUCGAGGAUUUCUAAAUUUUUGAGCUCUCCAAUGAUGGUUAUGUCUUCAACUAGACAUCCUCUUAGACAUAACAUGCGAAGGUCUAAGAGGUGAUUAAUUGACUCAGGUAGAUAGGAAUAUGAACGUAAAUCCAAGAUUUUGAGACUUUCAAUUCGUCUGAAAAAAUGGGGAGGAAUUGCCACUGAAUCAUCAUGGGCCAUAUGGAAAAAGGAAAGACCUGAAUACUCCAUCUCCUUGGGAAGCUCGGCUACAAUUUGAGGACAAGGUAAGCUUAUCACUCUCAAGCUGUUCAUUUUCGCCUUAUCGGACCACUCCUUUGGAAUAUGAUCUCUCAAAACAAGCAUAUGGUAGUCCCUCGAUGCAAUAGCUAAAGCAGCAUCCCAAACAACAUCAUGGAUAUCAAAGUGCUCAUCAUCAUAACUAUCAAGCAACAGGGAAGACGCUUUGAGAUUAGCCACAACCGUCAAUACUUCAUUUCUAGCUUCUUCCAUAGUGUUGACACCACCAAAUAAACCCAAACCCACAGUAUAUCUCAUCAACUUCUCAACCAGACCAUUAUGGCCUAUUACACAGCAAAGCAAGAAAGUCAGCUUAACUUCCUCACUUUCUAAAUAAUUAAAACUCCACUCAAUAGCUGAAUAUGCUGCAGCUAUCCCCGUGAAGUUGCUUGAUGAAGGCCUCUCUAGUUCUCGUAAAGCAUUCUUCCACUCAAACAAUCUUUUGUUUCUCAAAGCCCCUGCAACUGUCGCAAUGGCUAUGGGCAAUCCUGCACAUUUUUUGGCUACCUCCAUAGCUGCAGGCUUCAAAUCACAACUUUCAACGCAGUCGCCAGCCUUCUUCUUGAACAGGUCCCAGGCCUCGUUUUUAUUUAAAAACCCAACAGAAAAAUGUUUCUGAGCAUCCAUCCCAUUUGAUAAAACAUUUAGCUCUCUAGAAGUUAGCAGCAACUUGCAUCCCUUGUGCUCAUCUCCCACAGGGAUCCCAACUUCCUCAAUAUCAACCUUUGCCCAAAUGUCAUCCAAGACAACCAGAACCCUCUUCUCUUUCUUCAAUCUUUCUCGUAGUCGAAGUGCCUUUACAUCAGUACUCUGUUCCUCAAAUUUCAAGCCCAAUAACUCUGCAAUUCUGUCCUGAAUUUUCUCAAUAUCAAUGGCUUGCGUUACUGUUGCUAUGACAACCGAAUCAAAUAAAUUGCCCUUGACCUUUCUAGCGAUUUCUUUGACUAGCAUUGUUUUUCCGAUCCCACCCAUACCGUGCACCCCAAUAACGCUGACGCUAUCAUCAUUUAGUGCCUCCAUUAUUCCAUUCAAAACCAACGUUCUUGACUCAAAAUCCUCGUACCCUUUAAAUGGUGUGAUAGCGAUACCUUGCAGAGGCACAGGAUAAGAAACCUCGUCAAACUUGCCCUGUUCAAGUAGCUCGGCAACAGCCUUCACCUCCUCUGCAGCUUUCAGGCUAAGCUUGUAACGAGUCCAGAAAUGAGGACACAAACCAACGAAACACUUUUUCUUUGCUUUUUCUUCAUCUUGCGUCACUUUCUCUACUUGUUCAAGGAUCCUUGUGUCGACUGCAGACAACCAUUUGUCAACAUCGCCUUGGAUCUCUUUGCCGUUUCGUAAAGCUGCAUCAACAGAAUGCUGCACUCUGUCCCUUGCAACUUUCAGCUUCUCAGCUUGGUGCUUGAGGAUCUCAACAUUUUGCUGAUGAUUGGAAAGGUAUUUGACAUGGUUUAUGAUAGGAGAAAUCGUAUACUCUGCAGCUUUAGCGACAAUAGAGCUAACGAUGGCAAUAACAAAGUCCAUUGAGAGAGCAAAGAGCAAGUAAACUGAAAAACCACAGCCACAACAGAAAUCAAAACAAAAGCAGAAGAAAAAGGUACAAGUAAAAAUGAGCAGAAAGUAAAGCUUCUGUAAACAAACAAGACAGAACAAAUGAAAGCAGAUGGCGUACCUUUGCAAAAUAUAAGAGAAGGAUUGAGCGAUGAGUUUUGAACGAUGGAAAUAAUAAUUUGCCUUAACCGAGUAAAGCGAGUAGUAAUUUGAGAAUAGGCAAGUUAAUGUAAAAGUAAGCAAGUUUCAAUUGUUUUGUAUGUUCAAAAAACAUGCAUUACUUUCGCGGAUACAACUAAAAAGUGAAGAAGCCAACAGACAUGAUGACCCACCACGCCGAUGCUUUUUCAUUUAUUGCAAUUUUUAUUCGUAAGCAUUAAAUGUUGGGUAAAUUGCACAAUUAGUCAUUUAGGCAUUGCAGUCAAAAACUAUUUUCAUUUUUUAAAAUUAUUCCCUCUUUAGUCACGUGACAUUAAUUCAAUAUUAUUAUAUACUCAUUUAAGUCAUCCAAUUUUAAUAAAUUUUUAUUUUGAUCACUCAUUUCAUGUUUUAAAUUGAUUUUAUUUUUUUUCAAAAAAAUACCUUCCUUUUUCUUUGCAACUCCAUUUCCUAUAAAAACCCAGAUAAUUCAUCGGAAAAACCCAAGUUUUUCUCUUGUUAAUGAAUAAAAACUAAAAUAAAAGUGCAAUAACAUUAAAUUAAUGGUGAGUGGCCAAACUAAAAACAAUUUUAACCAUAGUGCCUAAAAUGAAAAUAAUUUUAAUAAUAGUGCCUAAAAUGAAAAUUUUUUAUUUUUUGGUACCAAAAAUAGAACUUUUUGAAAAAACGGUGACCAAUUAUAUAGUUUUCCCUAAAAUAUUUUAGCUUGAUUAAAGUAGCCUUAUCUUUUUAUAACUUUAUUUUUUAUUUAUUAAUUUAUAUUCUAUUUUGGUAUGACCAAUUAUUGAGCUGGGGGCUUAAUGGGAAUACUAUUUUGGCACUGUGUUUUGCACGUAAAUUCGAAAAAAGGUCUUGUUAAAAUCUGUUGGAAAAAUAUUAACACAUAGAUCAAAAGCUAUCAACAUAUAUAUAUAACUAUUUAUAUAUGGCUAAGUUAGCCAAAAAAAAAAAAGCAGAUUUAAAAAAAAAAAAUUGGUUGAUUAGGCCCAUUUUUGACAUAUUUAUUAUAAUAGGUUGAUUUUUAAUAAAAAAAAAGUGAAAAUGUGUAAGAAAGCACGAUACUCUUAAAAAAUAUCAAUACCCUUAAAAAAGUAUCGAUAACCUUGCUUGACAUCGACAUUAAUUUAAACUUUAAAGUUCAGAAAAACUGAACAAAAAUCAAAAGUAUUAAUACACUUGAAAAAGUAUCGAUACCUUUCACCAUGUAUUGAUACCAUCGUCAACCUUUCAAUAUUCUAUCUAUGUUUUUUCUUUGGUUCAUUUUCAUAUGUAUUUUUCUUCGCAUAUUUUACCAUUUCUUAACAUGUUUGUUUACCUUACAAGUUUAUCAUAUCUAAAACAUGAUUUUAGCAAAGCUGCUAUUGUGGAACCAAAAAUAUUUUGUAUUUAUGAUGAGAUUUAUGGAACUUUGACUUACAAAUUGGCUAUCAAGCCUUGAAAGAAUGGGUGGUAGUGGUGGUGGCAGCUGCUUCCUUUGAGGCUGCUAUAGUGGCACUUUCCUUAAACUAAUAUUGUAAAGGUACUCCCAUUUUUAAUGGUAUUUCACUCUCUCUACUCUGAUAAUGUUUUCUUUUCUCUCCAUUCAAUUAUAGAAAAAAAAAAAAAGAUUUUGGUAUCGGAGGAUUCACCAUGUAUCCAUCUUCCAAAGUUAGGAGAAGACAAGAUGCUAGCUACCAUUAGAAAGUAGCACUACACAAAGCAUUUCUUUUUCCCCACAUUGUCGAUAAACCUUUGUAAUCCAAUCAAUAGAUUUAUAAAUUUCAUUGUAAUUCUAAUUGUAGGAAACAACACGUACCGAUAUUAAAAAUACAUCAUCCUAGACACAAUUUCAUUUUUUUCUCUCUAAAAUCGACCUAUUCCAAUAAAUAUAUCAAAAAUAAGCCUAAAUAACCAAAAGAAUUUUUUAAAUCUGCCUUCCUAACUAAUUUAGCUUUUAUAUAAGAACAAUGAUUUAUGCUUCACAUAAAUCAAAUCAAUAAUCGAAGUAAGUAUAUAAGUGGGUGUGAACUUAUUAAAAAUAUUUAUAUAUAAUUAAAUAUAUAAUUAGUUAACUAAUGAGGUGUCACAAAUACUAGAGUGCUACGUUCAAAAUUGAGAAAAAUUAUUAAAUUUUAAAAUUAAUGUGAAAAAAAAUUACAGAUCAAAUUAAAAGAAAAUGUCAUGUUCGGAACUAAAUGUUGACUAACCUUCAUUUAUUAACCCAAAUGUUAAAAGGAUUAAAUAUCUUAAAAUAAUUUUAAUCUCUAAAAUUUGACACGAUUUAAAGUUUUUAAUUUUUUUAGGUAUAAUAAUAAAUUUAACUUCUAAUAUUUAUUGUUUUUCACUUUAAUCUUAAUUUUUUAUUACUUUAACUCUCAACCUUACAAAUAUAAUCAAAAUGUUUUUCAUUUUAGUCUUAAUUUUUUCUCCUCUCUAAUGGGGUUUUCAAGCGCAAGAAGAUCAUACUCUCUUAUUGCUCUUAGCUUUCUCACCAUUUCAUUUCUAUGUUUAUGAUAAUACUCUAAAAUGAUAUAUUUUUAUGUAUUAAUUAUAUAUUUAUUUUGAGUACGAUCCUAUUAAUUUGUGUUUUUUAUGAUUUUUAUCUUUUAGGGACUAAAUUGCAGCCAAAAGGAAAUUUGAGGGCAAAAAGAGUGAAUUUGAGGACAAAAUGGCAACAUGCAAAAUAGGAAAGAAGUGGUGCCAAAAAUACAAAGUGUGAAAGACUUGAGGAAAAAAAUUCAAAGAAGAGAUUUAUAAACAUAAGACUCUAUUUAAAUUUAAAUUUUAUUAGGAUUAUUGUUAAGAUUAUUAUUUAGAUUUAAUUUCAGCUUUUAUCUUUAUUUAUCCUUUAGAGUUUUAAUAGGAAAAAACUAAGUUUUUCUUGUACUAUAAAUAGGGAAUGAAGUGAUACAAAUUGCACUCAUCUUUUUUGUAAAAAAUUUUGUCUCCCUGAAGCUCUUGAUCUUUGUUCAUUUUGUUAUUUAAUAAAAUUCCAUUUUAUUAAACUUAUUUCUUUUUUCCCGAAAAGCAUAAGCCACUAAACUCAUCUAGCCAAAGGUGCUUUAUAUGUUUUGGGAAGGUUGCACAGUUGAUUCGUUAGCUUACUGGAUCAGUGGUUGUCGAGCCUAAGAGACAAGAUGGUGUGGCAUUCGCCAUUGAGAAGUGAUGAUCUAGUGUAAGAUGGUCUUAAAAAAGUGGCAAUUGGCUAGAGUCAGAUUCCUUUAAAUCGUAAGGCUAAAAUCUAAGUGGAGCUGGUGGUCGUAGGUGUCCUCUUCUAUUAUAACUAGCUUAUUCUGUCAUGAGAAGGAUCAUCUAAAAGCCGAGGAUUAAACCCAAGAAGGAUUGAGACAACCGAAGGCUAGAAUCUCUCAAUUAAAGAAACUAUUUUCUCAAUUCUAUUUCUCUUUACAAUUUUGAUUUCAAUUUAUACAACUUCACCCCUUCUAUAUCUUUAAUUCUAUUUUUUUUCCAAGUACAUUGCUUUUUCUUGGGAACGAUUGUGACCGAGAUCUUGAGGAAUAAGAAGUUGUGCAAAUCUAAUCCCUGAGGAUUUGGUCCUACUUCCCUUAUACUAUAUUUUUCCUUAUUUUAUAGGGAUAGAUUAUUUUUGGUGAUUUUAAUAACACACCAGUUUAGAAAAUGCCAAUUGUUGCUGCAAUGUAUAUGAAGGUAAGUGGGUGUAUGACAGCUCCUAUCCUCUCAUCCACAAGGAGUUUAAUUGCCUCAAGUAUGGCCGCCCUGAUAAUCUUUACGUUAAAUAUAGAUGGCAACCAAGCAAGUGUAAUUUGCCAAGGUACAUAUCUCUCACCGCCCUCAAUGUUUCAUCUAUGGAGGGUGUCGAAAUUAUCAAAUAAAAAUAAUUCCUACAAUAAAAUAACUCUAAAUAGUGGUAAACAGUAGUAAAUAGUAGUGUUUGUAAAUUAAGCUGCCUUUUAAGUGUACCACACCACCUAUUUAUACAUAAAUCAUACGCUAAUUUUAAGCUUGUUCCACAUAUUACUAACUACAUAAAUUAAUAUCAUAUUUCAUUUCUAAUUUUGGCUUUUACAAGGUUAAAAUUUGAUCAGCCCCUCAAAUGUCUCAAAUUUAUGAUUCAGUCCCUGUUCUAUUUCUCAUGCUUCAAUUUAAUUCCUUCUUUGUUUGUUUUUUAUUUAAAACACCCAAAUUUCAUCUCUGUAAAUAUUUAAACACAAAAUUCAUCAAUUAGCAGGAACUAAUUCAAAAUCAAAUUAAGCACAAAAAAAUAUACAAAAUGAACAAUCUAUCAAUCUGCAUGUCUAUUAGCUUAAUGGAACAAAUGACAGGUUUGAUGGAACGCAUUUGUUGAGGAGAUUAAGGGCAAUAAGAUAAUGCUUAUUGGAGACUCCAUAAGUAUAAGCCAAUGGCAAUUUCUGUUAUGCAUGCUUCAUGCUGCAGUGCCUACUACAUCUGGUAUAAUCACACUGUUUCCACUGUUACUUUCAAGGUAUAAUCACACAAGACUUGCAUAAUCUGGUAUAAUCUGACAUAAUUUGAAAUUAAAUUAAACAAUAUCAUAAUAAUCCUAACAAUAAUCCUAAAAAUAAAAUUCAUAUUUAAAUGAAGUCUUAUAUUCAUAAAUCUCUUCUUUGAUUUUUUGCUCCAAGUCUAUCACAAUUUGUAUUUUUGGCACCACUUCUUCCCUAUUUCGCAUGCUGACCUAUUUUGUCUCUAAUCUCACACUUUUUCCCCAAACUUCCUUUUGCCUUCAAGUUAGUCCCUACAAGAUUAAAAACCAUAAAAAGCCCAAAUUAGUAGGAUCAUUUUAGAAAUAUGUUAUUAGAUCUAGCUUUUGCUAUAUAUAUGGUAUUCAAUUAUAUUUUGCUAUAUAAUUUCAAGUAUAAAAAAACAUACAACUUAAAUAAUUCAAAAUUAAACAUUGCAAUUUUAAAUCCAUACUAACAUACUUAACCCAAUUUUCACAAAAUAUGAACAAGAUAUCAUAUAUUGCAUAAAUAACAUAGAUAGUUUGAAGUUGAUUUUUCAAGUAUUAAAGACCAAAAGAAUACCGAGUCACUUACCUAGUCUGCUGAAUCAACACUUGAGUGACAAAUUUCACAAAUCCACUAAUAGCCUAAAAUUUAAGAAUGGAACUUGAAAAAUCAGAAUUCAAUCAAUAAAUCAAAGGCUUAAAAGGUAUGGCUUUAUGCGGUAAUCCUAUGACAUUUCACUUGUGACAAUUCCCCUAACUAAGACACAAUUAUAUAGUUUAAUUAAACUAUUCUUUACUUCAAAAGUAAGUAAAUCAAAUUUAAUAAAAUGCAUACAUAUUUUAAGAAAAUUCAAUAAAUUAAUAAAAAUCUGUUUACUAUGGUUGGAGUUCCAACCAAAGAAUAUAUAUUCAAACAGAAAAUAUUUUAAAAAUCAAAAUUUCGAAAUUCUAAACUUCACUAUUUUGACUCACUUGAAGCAAUUCAAACUCACAACUUACUUGGUUUUUGGCAGUAGAAAAACAUAAUUUAAAGAAUUAAUGUAAUAGUAAAACUGAGAAACUUAGUUUUGUCAAAAUCAGUUACCAAAAACUUAAGUUUCGAAAGCCAAAACAUAAGAAAUCAUCACAAUCUGCACAGAUUUUUUGGGUUAACAAUUUUGACUAGCCUACUUUGGGGCCUCAUAUGACCAAGAUAACAAAUACCACAUAAAAAAACAAACCCCAUACUAUGAAAAACAUCUAAAUUUCGGAACAAAUGAACACCUAAUGAUGGAUUUUUUGUGCAUCAAAAUCGACUACUCAAAACUAUCAAAAACCCACACAUCAGAAACUUUUAAAAAUUUUCUCCUAAACUACUCGAUCAAAAUGGAUCUCAUACAUACCAUUUGAAAAAUCUUGAAAAGAACUUUCGUUUGGUACCAACAAUGUCACCGAAAUCUCACCGGAAAGUCACUGAAAUGUGGCGAACAAUAAAAUUAACCCAAAUAAAAUACAUGGGCAAAGAUUUCAACAAAUAUAAACCAAAACUCAUCUUAAUAGUUGAAAACUAAGAUCGAUUUGCCAAAUUAUCAAAACCACCGUCCAAAAGAAAAUAGCAUAAGUGAUUUUUCCCCUAUUCUUUGAUAUAAAAGAACAAACGCUAUAAAAUACACAUAAAUUUGAGCUUGAUAAAAAAAAUAACUAAUGGAUCAAAUAAUUAAUUGGGCAUUCAUUUAAAAAAGUUGGGGGUAUUACAAUUAGUGAAUUAAUUAUCUUGAAGGCAAGGAUGGAUUAAGGUAUAGGACGUGAUUACGAGGGUUGGAGCAUAAUUUUUUGAAGGCUAAUGUUUGGAGUUGGAUUGCGAAACCACGAUAUGUUCUGAUUAAACAUUAAUGGAGUGAAUAAUGAAUUUGAGCUGAGUGUUUCAUGAAGCAGGCGUUUUCUUUUCUUGAUCUUUGCUAGACAGGGAAUAUUGUUAAGCUCAGCUGGUUGUUUUUAAAGAUUGGUGGAUGCAGGAAAUUUUCAAAAUUGCGAUGGCCUAUGUAUGAAUUACGUGAGCAGAAAAACUACUGUUCAAUGACAAUGAUGAUGACCAAUGUGUACGCUUUGUGUGAUCUUGAUGAGCAUAAAAACUAUGUGAUAAGAUUUUAGAUACUUUAAUUGCUGUUUGAUGAAAGAGAGAAAGUAAUGUGAAAUGGAACAGUUCAAAUAAUAGAUUUGCAAAAAGUGAAACAACCUUUUAGGUUCGGAGGAAAAUUGCAGACCCAUACAUCAAUAGAGCAACUCAACCUACAAUGAAAAAGGCAUCUCCAUCAUCACUUUGUAGCUUCUGUAAAGCAUUAGUUAAGCCAUGAUGAAGGUUAAUAAAGCAGAUAAAUGAAAAUAGAAAAGUAAAUUACCAUUUGUUUUGAACUGAAAUGAAACUAAGCUUUUGUCUCAGAAGCACCCAAACAUAUUUCCUUAAGUCACCUGAGAAUUUUGCACAUUCUGUGCUUGACCAAAAUAAACAAUUAUAAAGAAAGGUAAAACCAAGAACUGUUCAAUUAACUAUGUAUGCAAAUGCACCAAAUAGCAAUUUAUAUUCGUUAUGUUAUUAAAAGUUAAAGACUUGAAAUCCUUUAAAAUGAUUUUUACCAUUACUUGGAACAUUUGUUUUAUGGUAGUGUUAAGGUCGCCUUCCCACCAUAGUUCAUCUUCCUCAUCUCUUGCUACAUGCAUUUGUUGUAGAUUUGAGGUGCUUAAAUCUCCUUGACAGAAAUUUCUCAUUUUUGGGCACUUUGUCACCAUUACCAUUUGCAAGACAGGGAACUCUAACGAGUGAUGUGCCAAGGAAAAGCUUGCUAGACUUGGCAGACCACUCAGUUUCAAAUACUUCAGUUUGGGAAAAAUAAUGCUGCCUUGUAUUUCUUCACCCUCACAUGCUAUGAUUUCCUCUAUCAUCUCACAAUCAGCUACGCUCAAUCUUUCUAGUAGCAUCAGGCUCUUACCUGUUGAGCAUGCCAUUAAAUUGAUGAAUCCAUGGCAGCUUAUAACUUCUAGAGUUGUUAGCUUUUUGAAAGACAGCAAAGAUGGUUGAAAAGUCUUUAAUGUCAACUGCGGAAGUUUAGACAACCUCAAUUCCUUUAACUGAUAGAAUGCUGAUGUCUGCCUUCCCUUGUCGCUGAGUCCUUCAGACCAGACUAUUUCAGAAAUGGAAGCAUUGUUUAUAACAAGCUUUUGAAGCUUUGGUAGUGACUGAAUGAAGCAAUAUGGAAGAGUAGUGGAUGUCUCCGGAAAGCAAUGGAGGUUAAGAAGUUUAAGGUUUGGGAAACACUGCAAUGAGAGUUGUCCAUCACAUAUCCCCU
rnacentral:lncRNA from 1 species